AUUUAUUUAGUUAUUUGCAUUUGAGAAUGGAUGUCUAAUUGUGCAUUACAUUACGAUGUUUAAUUGAUUAAUAUGCUUGCAUUUAAUUGCAAUACUUGAUUAAUUGUGUUGUGAUAUUGCUGUGCUUUGUUUGUGUGGAAUUGGGAUGAAGUGGGUCACCAUGGGUUUGUGAGACUGUUUCUGUUAUACGGAUCCUGAUUCUGAUUUCUGUUAUAUUCUGAUUCUGUUAUAUGGAUCCUGAUUCUGUUUCUGUUAGCCGGGUAAAUGGGAGAUCGGCGCCCCCGUGUGCACCUACUGUUACCGUUACUGUUAACCACAGGUUGGCUUCUUUAUUGGGCGCACCNNNNNNNNNNNNNNNNNNNNNNNNNNNNNNNNNNNNNNNNNNNNNNNNNNNNNNNNNNNNNNNNNNNNNNNNNNNNNNNNNNNNNNNNNNNNNNNNNNNNNNNNNNNNNNNNNNNNNNNNNNNNNNNNNNNNNNNNNNNNNNNNNNNNNNNNNNNNNNNNNNNNNNNNNNNNNNNNNNNNNNNNNNNNNNNNNNNNNNNNNNNNNNNNNNNNNNNNNNNNNNNNNNNNNNNNNNNNNNNNNNNNNNNNNNNNNNNNNNNNNNNNNNNNNNNNNNNNNNNNNNNNNNNNNNNNNNNNNNNNNNNNNNNNNNNNNNNNNNNNNNNNNNNNNNNNNNNNNNNNNNNNNNNNNNNNNNNNNNNNNNNNNNNNNNNNNNNNNNNNNNNNNNNNNNNNNNNNNNNNNNNNNNNNNNNNNNNNNNNNNNNNNNNNNNNNNNNNNNNNNNNNNNNNNNNNNNNNNNNNNNNNNNNNNNNNNNNNNNNNNNNNNNNNNNNNNNNNNNNNNNNNNNNNNNNNNNNNNNNNNNNNNNNNNNNNNNNNNNNNNNNNNNNNNNNNNNNNNNNNNNNNNNNNNNNNNNNNNNNNNNNNNNNNNNNNNNNNNNNNNNNNNNNNNNNNNNNNNNNNNNNNNNNNNNNNNNNNNNNNNNNNNNNNNNNNNNNNNNNNNNNNNNNNNNNNNNNNNNNNNNNNNNNNNNNNNNNNNNNNNNNNNNNNNNNNNNNNNNNNNNNNNNNNNNNNNNNNNNNNNNNNNNNNNNNNNNNNNNNNNNNNNNNNNNNNNNNNNNNNNNNNNNNNNNNNNNNNNNNNNNNNNNNNNNNNNNNNNNNNNNNNNNNNNNNNNNNNNNNNNNNNNNNNNNNNNNNNNNNNNNNNNNNNNNNNNNNNNNNNNNNNNNNNNNNNNNNNNNNNNNNNNNNNNNNNNNNNNNNNNNNNNNNNNNNNNNNNNNNNNNNNNNNNNNNNNNNNNNNNNNNNNNNNNNNNNNNNNNNNNNNNNNNNNNNNNNNNNNNNNNNNNNNNNNNNNNNNNNNNNNNNNNNNNNNNNNNNNNNNNNNNNNNNNNNNNNNNNNNNNNNNNNNNNNNNNNNNNNNNNNNNNNNNNNNNNNNNNNNNNNNNNNNNNNNNNNNNNNNNNNNNNNNNNNNNNNNNNNNNNNNNNNNNNNNNNNNNNNNNNNNNNNNNNNNNNNNNNNNNNNNNNNNNNNNNNNNNNNNNNNNNNNNNNNNNNNNNNNNNNNNNNNNNNNNNNNNNNNNNNNNNNNNNNNNNNNNNNNNNNNNNNNNNNNNNNNNNNNNNNNNNNNNNNNNNNNNNNNNNNNNNNNNNNNNNNNNNNNNNNNNNNNNNNNNNNNNNNNNNNNNNNNNNNNNNNNNNNNNNNNNNNNNNNNNNNNNNNNNNNNNNNNNNNNNNNNNNNNNNNNNNNNNNNNNNNNNNNNNNNNNNNNNNNNNNNNNNNNNNNNNNNNNNNNNNNNNNNNNNNNNNNNNNNNNNNNNNNNNNNNNNNNNNNNNNNNNNNNNNNNNNNNNNNNNNNNNNNNNNNNNNNNNNNNNNNNNNNNNNNNNNNNNNNNNNNNNNNNNNNNNNNNNNNNNNNNNNNNNNNNNNNNNNNNNNNNNNNNNNNNNNNNNNNNNNNNNNNNNNNNNNNNNNNNNNNNNNNNNNNNNNNNNNNNNNNNNNNNNNNNNNNNNNNNNNNNNNNNNNNNNNNNNNNNNNNNNNNNNNNNNNNNNNNNNNNNNNNNNNNNNNNNNNNNNNNNNNNNNNNNNNNNNNNNNNNNNNNNNNNNNNNNNNNNNNNNNNNNNNNNNNNNNNNNNNNNNNNNNNNNNNNNNNNNNNNNNNNNNNNNNNNNNNNNNNNNNNNNNNNNNNNNNNNNNNNNNNNNNNNNNNNNNNNNNNNNNNNNNNNNNNNNNNNNNNNNNNNNNNNNNNNNNNNNNNNNNNNNNNNNNNNNNNNNNNNNNNNNNNNNNNNNNNNNNNNNNNNNNNNNNNNNNNNNNNNNNNNNNNNNNNNNNNNNNNNNNNNNNNNNNNNNNNNNNNNNNNNNNNNNNNNNNNNNNNNNNNNNNNNNNNNNNNNNNNNNNNNNNNNNNNNNNNNNNNNNNNNNNNNNNNNNNNNNNNNNNNNNNNNNNNNNNNNNNNNNNNNNNNNNNNNNNNNNNNNNNNNNNNNNNNNNNNNNNNNNNNNNNNNNNNNNNNNNNNNNNNNNNNNNNNNNNNNNNNNNNNNNNNNNNNNNNNNNNNNNNNNNNNNNNNNNNNNNNNNNNNNNNNNNNNNNNNNNNNNNNNNNNNNNNNNNNNNNNNNNNNNNNNNNNNNNNNNNNNNNNNNNNNNNNNNNNNNNNNNNNNNNNNNNNNNNNNNNNNNNNNNNNNNNNNNNNNNNNNNNNNNNNNNNNNNNNNNNNNNNNNNNNNNNNNNNNNNNNNNNNNNNNNNNNNNNNNNNNNNNNNNNNNNNNNNNNNNNNNNNNNNNNNNNNNNNNNNNNNNNNNNNNNNNNNNNNNNNNNNNNNNNNNNNNNNNNNNNNNNNNNNNNNNNNNNNNNNNNNNNNNNNNNNNNNNNNNNNNNNNNNNNNNNNNNNNNNNNNNNNNNNNNNNNNNNNNNNNNNNNNNNNNNNNNNNNNNNNNNNNNNNNNNNNNNNNNNNNNNNNNNNNNNNNNNNNNNNNNNNNNNNNNNNNNNNNNNNNNNNNNNNNNNNNNNNNNNNNNNNNNNNNNNNNNNNNNNNNNNNNNNNNNNNNNNNNNNNNNNNNNNNNNNNNNNNNNNNNNNNNNNNNNNNNNNNNNNNNNNNNNNNNNNNNNNNNNNNNNNNNNNNNNNNNNNNNNNNNNNNNNNNNNNNNNNNNNNNNNNNNNNNNNNNNNNNNNNNNNNNNNNNNNNNNNNNNNNNNNNNNNNNNNNNNNNNNNNNNNNNNNNNNNNNNNNNNNNNNNNNNNNNNNNNNNNNNNNNNNNNNNNNNNNNNNNNNNNNNNNNNNNNNNNNNNNNNNNNNNNNNNNNNNNNNNNNNNNNNNNNNNNNNNNNNNNNNNNNNNNNNNNNNNNNNNNNNNNNNNNNNNNNNNNNNNNNNNNNNNNNNNNNNNNNNNNNNNNNNNNNNNNNNNNNNNNNNNNNNNNNNNNNNNNNNNNNNNNNNNNNNNNNNNNNNNNNNNNNNNNNNNNNNNNNNNNNNNNNNNNNNNNNNNNNNNNNNNNNNNNNNNNNNNNNNNNNNNNNNNNNNNNNNNNNNNNNNNNNNNNNNNNNNNNNNNNNNNNNNNNNNNNNNNNNNNNNNNNNNNNNNNNNNNNNNNNNNNNNNNNNNNNNNNNNNNNNNNNNNNNNNNNNNNNNNNNNNNNNNNNNNNNNNNNNNNNNNNNNNNNNNNNNNNNNNNNNNNNNNNNNNNNNNNNNNNNNNNNNNNNNNNNNNNNNNNNNNNNNNNNNNNNNNNNNNNNNNNNNNNNNNNNNNNNNNNNNNNNNNNNNNNNNNNNNNNNNNNNNNNNNNNNNNNNNNNNNNNNNNNNNNNNNNNNNNNNNNNNNNNNNNNNNNNNNNNNNNNNNNNNNNNNNNNNNNNNNNNNNNNNNNNNNNNNNNNNNNNNNNNNNNNNNNNNNNNNNNNNNNNNNNNNNNNNNNNNNNNNNNNNNNNNNNNNNNNNNNNNNNNNNNNNNNNNNNNNNNNNNNNNNNNNNNNNNNNNNNNNNNNNNNNNNNNNNNNNNNNNNNNNNNNNNNNNNNNNNNNNNNNNNNNNNNNNNNNNNNNNNNNNNNNNNNNNNNNNNNNNNNNNNNNNNNNNNNNNNNNNNNNNNNNNNNNNNNNNNNNNNNNNNNNNNNNNNNNNNNNNNNNNNNNNNNNNNNNNNNNNNNNNNNNNNNNNNNNNNNNNNNNNNNNNNNNNNNNNNNNNNNNNNNNNNNNNNNNNNNNNNNNNNNNNNNNNNNNNNNNNNNNNNNNNNNNNNNNNNNNNNNNNNNNNNNNNNNNNNNNNNNNNNNNNNNNNNNNNAGAAAACUCACAUGUCUUGUUUAAUUUUUCAGGAAGUAAGUUUUUUUUUCUUUAAUCCGAUAUAGGCUAUGUUCCUUCAGUGCAGGGGAAUAGAGAAAUUUUCCUAGUUCUAUAAUUAUUUUACUAUGUAAUUAUAUGUAUAAAAAGCUAUGUAUACCAAAUAGUUAGUGACUCCGCAGUUGUAGAAUUUGUGUACAAUUAGUCGUGUAUUAACAUAGACGAUAUAAUUAUGUGAGCCCAUAGUAAAAAUGUGAUGUAUUGUUAAUUGAGCCCGAACUGUGGUAUAUUGUAGCUGAUAAAUUUGGGCCGAGAUUUAAUAAAAUCUUGAGGUUUAUUUUCCUAUCAAUAUGGGCUGAAUGUUUAAAUUAUAUUGAGAUAGUAAAUUUUUAGUGUUUCAGGCUUACUACGGGCCUCGGGGGCCUUAAGCUUACCUGGGCCCUAGUGCCGGUCCGACCCACGGAAUCGGGUCGUGACAAAAUUAAUGGUGUCGAGAUCCGCAAAUUCCGAUUAAUUGAAAAAUUUGAGGACUAUAUUAUAUUAUUUUUUUAUUUUUUUAAAGAAUAUUUUAUUUUGAUUAAUUUAUGUUGAGAUACAAAGAUAUAUAGAUAUCUCAUAAUUCUAUAAUACGUGCAAUUCUUCUAUUUAUAAAUAUAUAUAUAUAUAUAUCCAAUUUGUUUUGCAGAAAUUGAAAAUAAUCUAAUACUAUAUGAUGUGACAACCAAUAUUUACGAAAAAAGAAAAAGAAAUUAAAGUGUUGCCCGUAUAAAUAUAAAAAUUGAAAAACUUAGAUAUAGUUAAAUAGAUAUAAAUAAUAAAAAAAUUUAAAAAUUGUAAAAGUGAUAUAUAUAUAUAUAUAUAUAUAUAUAUAUGAAACGUAUGAAACAAUAUUUUUUAUAUAUAUUUUUAUAUUUUUUUCCAUUUUGAAGUUUAUUUUAAAAUUAAAAUAAUAAUCUGUUUUUUUAAAUAAUUAACAUCGUAAAUCAUCAAUGAUUGAAAAUUCAAUUAGAAUAAUAUAAUAAUAUAUUUUGCUAAUCAAUUAAUAAAAAAUAUUAAAAGAAUUCUAAUUUAUCAAUUAUUAAAAAUUCAAGUUAUUUAAUAAACACAAAUUAUUAUCAAUUAUCAAAUGAUUAAGGAUAUUUUAAUAUUUCUAAACUUUCGCUAAAAUCAUUACGAGUAAUCUCAUUAUUCCUCUCCUCAUUCUCACCUUUCUAUAUAAUAUAGAGUAAUAUUAAAUUUUUAUAAAAUCAAGAGUUAUUAGAUUAAUUAAUAAAUUAUAAUUGUUUAUUAUUUUACGAUCAACAGUUGAUAAUUGAUAUAUUAAUUAUCUCGCAAUAUAAAAUUCUCAUCAAAUUGUCCAUGUUUAUAUUGUUAAUUAAUUAUUAUAACCUAACUUAACAAUAUUGAAAUUAUAAUGAAACAAUAAUGAAAAAGAAUGUGAGGUAGGCUGUAAUUGAAAGAAAAAUUUGUUUCACCGAAUUAAAAAAAAAAUAUGAUUAAAAUAGAAUAAAAAAUGAAUUUGAUACUUUUCUUUUUUUUUUUUUGUCAUAAUAUAUAAUUAUAUUCCUUCACGGCACAAAUUAUUUUUUUAAAGGAUUUGAAAAAUUCAUAAAAUUAAUGAAGAACAUUUAUAGCAUCCGUUGAAUUUCAAAAUUCACAUGCGUUAAGAAUCGUAGCGAAAUAGAACUCUUAAUAUUUUAGAAUAUUAUAACUAUUGUCCAUUCUGGUCCAGUCAAGAACUCUAAAAAUCCCAAAGUCCAAAGGCUACUGGCUACUGCUUCAAGCUGUAACCGGAUAAUUUAGAAAUAGAAAAGUCUCUUAGGACCAAAUGGAGUCAUACAUGAACAUAACGUCUCUAAUUGGACAACUACUAAUCUGUAAUCAACUAAUCAUUAAUUAUCAUGCAUAACUCGUUUUAUCAUCAUCUAAUUAUUUUUUCAAAAAUUAAGAUAAUAAUAUAUAUCGCUUCUAUAAAAUUUAGUGAUAAUUAUAAUUUCAUCUCUUUUUAUUUGGUAAACUCAAUGAUUAAUCUAUUCAGUCUUCCAUCUAAAAAUGUCAUUUAAGUGAGAAACUAUAGUAAUUCAAUAAUAAAUAUGAGAAAUUAAAUAAUAAUAAUAUAUUAAUUAUAAAGCAUCAAAUAAUCAAUUAUUAAAUAUAAAAUAAUACUUUUUGGACAAAAAGAAAAUGGAAUGCUGAAAUUUCUUGUCAUCGCUUUCUUGAGAUAAUGAUAUAAAAAUAUCAAAGUCAAUAAUAUCAUAAAGAGAAUCAAUUUGUGCAAGCCAAACCAUAUUUUCUUUUUCUAAUUUUGACACAUAUCAUAAAUGUAAUUAGGUAGAAUUUCAUGUCCAUAGAAUUUCAGUGGAGGAAGUCUUUUUAAUUUGUCCAUUCUGAACAAAUGUAAUUAGUCAUGUUUCUUUUAUUUAUUACCAGGUUCAUUGAACUAAUUAAAAUAACAUAAUUGAUUCAAAUAGUGAAAAUUCUUGUAGUGCAGAAAACUUAAACUUAAAAUUUCUAACUCUUUAUAUAAGUGAGAAAACUAAACAAAUCACACCUGGUUGACAUAACUAGUCAUAUUCUUAUCGCAGAUUUUUUUAAAAAAUAUAUAAUUUUCAUGCACUUGACAAAGAAAAAUUGAUAUUUCCUCAUUUUGAUAGAAAUGUGAAAUUAACCUUAAAUAAUUGAUAUAUGUUUGUACCCCAAAAAGAGAAGGCAGAGCUAAUAAUGCUAUUAUGUAUGUGGUACUAUAGUUUCCACAUAGUCCUCUUAACAGCCAAUGCAAUGAUUUCCCUUCGAUAUAUAGCAUGGCUCAUUUAGGUGCAUCCUGCAUCUAUGUAUGGGCAUAUGGCGAAUCCUCUCUUUUCUCUCUCUCUCUCUCUCUUUUUUUUUUUUUUUUUUUUUUUUUUUUUUUUGAUUACAAUAAAAAUAAUUCAAAAAUCUAAGCAUAUAAAUUUCUUGAUCAGUUGUAUAUUAUGCAAUUUUAUCAAAUCAAUGCCUAAUAUCAAUUUUUUUUAGUUUGUACAUCUUUAGGUUUUGUUGAUUCAAUGUUGUUAAUUGGUGGCUAAUAUGAUUUUUUUUAUUAAAACCAUUCAGAAGCCUACAAAUUUGACUAGUUCAUAUCUCCUAUAUUGCAAAUUUACAAAAAGGCAUAUAGUUUUUUUUCGAAAUUUAAACUACUCCGUUUCGAGCUCAAAACUGAAACUUAUGGAUAAGAGAAAAGAUAUUCAGGUCAUCCCAUUUCAGCUCUUGCAAGAGGGUAUGAUAACGUGAUUUUAACAGUAUUAAGUAAAAUUCACAGCGAAUAUUGAAUUAAUUAGUCAACAGAGCACAAAGAAAGAAUAGUCUUAACGUGCAUGCCACGUUCUAGUUGUAUCCCAAUACAGUGUUUCUUCAUCAAUCUUUUAUCUUGGACCACCUUUUUCAUUUUUCAGGAAUUCAGAAAUAUCAGCAGACUCAUCAGCAAAAACAAUAUUUAGACGACGAUAAGGAAGCGAGAAGCUAUACAGAAAAACAAAGGCGGCCAAUAAUAUGUCCUUUUCAAAUGUCUACUUUAAAUAAUACACAGUUUCUUUCUUGCUUGGUUGUCAAAAAGAUUCUAAUCCUGCCUUUAUAUAUAUAUAGCACACAGAACUAGAGUCUUUAACUAAUAAUGGGUCGAUUUCAUCUCGUUCUUUUAUUUCUUUCUCUCAGUUUCUGCCUCUUCCCUGAUAUUAUAUCAGCUCAACUUAGACGAAAUUAUUAUGCAAAUAUUUGCCCAAACGUGGAAUCCAUUGUUAGAAAUGCAGUUCAGAAGAAAUUUCAACAGACAUUUGUCACUGUUCCUGGAACCAUUCGUCUCUUUUUCCAUGAUUGCUUUGUCCAGGUAAAGUUAUCUUUUUUUUAUUAUCUUGAAAGUUAAAGAUUAAAAAUAAUGGUGCAUGCUUAUAACUUUAUAUUAUUUGAUAGGGAUGUGAUGCUUCAGUUAUAAUUCAAUCCACUCCAAAUAACAAAGCAGAGAAGGACAAUCCCGAUAAUUUAUCGCUGGCCGGAGACGGAUUUGACACCGUUAUAAAGGCGAAAGCCGCCGUGGACGCAGUCCCAAGUUGCAGAAAUAAGGUCUCAUGUGCAGAUAUUCUUGCUAUGGCAACAAGAGAUGCUAUUGCUUUGGUCAGUACUCUUCGGUCUGUACAAUUAUUAUAUUAAAUUCAAAUUUUUGUGUCGUUAUAUUAUCAAUAUAAUGCAGUCUGGUGGACCUUCAUAUGCUGUUGAAUUGGGAAGAUUAGAUGGUCUAAGCUCAACUGCUUCUAGUGUCAAUGGCAAACUUCCUCAGCCCACUUUCAAUUUGAAUCAGCUCAAUUCACUGUUUGCUUCUCAUGGUCUUUCCCAAACCGACAUGAUUGCUCUUUCAGGUAAAUUAACUAUCAUUACUAGACUCAAUCAAUUAAUUUUCAAUGAACUUUAAUUUAACAAAGUAAUUAAUUUAAUGAUUCAUAAUAUAAUUUAAUGAUUGAAUUUGCAUUACUAUGUCAUUUUUUUAUGUGCUUUGUUUAAUAAAAAAUUCCAAAUCAAAACAGUAUUAGAUGAGGUUAUUUAUUUAUUUAUUUUUUUGAGUGGAAGUAUUAAAUUAGGUUAUAAGUACACUGAUCCAGUUAUUGUUGGAUAACUUCCAAAAUUAUUCCUAAUAACGUUAACGCGUAAGUUUUCAAACCACGUGGAUUCGCAAGAUGUUGGGGCCCGCAAAGUAAUACCACGUACGCAACAUGGGUUCACAGAACAAUUCUGUUGCUACUUUUGAUAUAAUAGCCUGUUUUAUUAUCUGGCAUUAGCUGGUAAUCACUAACCUAAACUGGCAGCUAAUGAAAUUGAAAUGACGUGGAUAAAAAUUAAGCGUUGAUUCUGUGUCACCACUCAACUUCAUGAUUGCUGCAUGUGAUGCGAAUUUCUGUUUCUUUUGGCAAUCUUGUCAGGGGCCCACACCGUCGGAUUUUCCCAUUGCAACAAGUUCGCUAACAGAAUAUACAAUUUCACCCGUCAAAAUCCGGUGGACCCUACACUCAACAAGGUCUACGCAACUCAGCUACAAGACAUGUGUCCUAGGAACGUGGACCCCAGGAUAGCAAUUAACAUGGACCCCGCAACACCCAAUACUUUUGACAACGUGUACUUCAAGAACCUCCAGCAAGGACAGGGCCUCUUCACUUCAGACCAAGUACUCUUCGCAGACCCAAGGUCGAGGCCCACGGUGAAUGCAUGGGCCCAAAACUCCGCAGCGUUCCAAAAAGCCUUUGUCGCGGCCAUCACGAAGCUGGGCCGGGUCGGAGUCAAGACCGGUAAAAACGGGAAUAUUCGUAGAGAUUGUGCUGUCUUUAAUUAAAAAAGAAAAUUAGAGGUCACAAAUUUUGUUCACAAAGCCAAGAGAAAGGGGGGUUUAAGUUGUAUUUAGAAAUUGCACUCUUCGUUGAAGAUAAAAGUACGUGGAACCCAUAUGAAGUUUUACGACGAGCAAAUUGUAUUAAUUAGAGAAAUAUGGGUUUAUGGGAUUGCUAAUUGAAUAAAAUUUUUGUAAGUGGAGCGUCCAUUUUUAAUAAAGAAGAAGGGAAUUGGUUUUACUGUUGCAAUUUCUUUCUUUUGAGUAAACCAUGUAUCUGGGAACAAGAACAAGGGUAUCGUUGAAAAGGCACAUGGUUUUAUUACCAGUUGCAUGCAGACAUAUAGUAAGCAAACAAGAGACAGCUGGAAUGAUUAAUUAGAUUGCCUAAUAGGAAGAAAUAUUAAAUUAAAUUAAAACUAGAUAGAGAUAAGAUGCUAAUUAAAAUAAAAUAUCAUCUCAUCUUAAUCUAAUCUAGAAUUCCCCAGUGAAGGUUAAAGCCUAAAACAGUGAAUAAACACUGUACAUUAACACAUAUAUAUGGUUCCAGGUUUCUGUUUCUUUUCAUAGCUCAUCUUCUGCAAGACAUUGUAUAAAUCUUCAUCCUAAUUUUCUACCAAGCCAAUAAAAAAAACACUAUGAAAGAUGAUAAUUACAAGCAUGCCACCCAAAUUUGGAACACGAUGUUUGCUCAUCAAAAAGCCAGGCUCAAAGAACAGUCACAUUCAACAACUUAAAUCAAUUUCUCCAUUUCACAUUCUGCAUGAGCUGAAAUCACCUUCUAUUAUUCAGAAAGUGCACGCCCAGUCUCAUUAUUUUCUUGGCCAAUUUUUAUCUUGAAAAGCAAACCUAAAAAGCAACAAACUUUCCAAAUUAGACGGAAAACAUUUAGAUAUGGACGAAAACUAGUAAGCAUGGGGUGGUGCGCCUGGACAACAUAAACCUUAUCUGACUAGCCAACAUAAACCUUGUCUGACAAGACCUGUCAGAUUCUUGAAUAAUCCUCAAACCAAGGAGGUAACAAAUUCUCUAUAGUCUAAAUUCCACAGUGAAAUGUGGUUGAGAGAACAAAGUGGAAUUAGCUCUGAAUCGUGAGUCAAACAAAAUUUAGUACGACGUUCAUUUGACACAGUCCCUUGAUUUUAUCAGCCUAUCAAUUCACAUCCAUGAUUCAUGCUCCAGUUGCAAGCCUGCCAAAUGAAAAAUAGAAAGGACUGAGGAGAUAUACCAUAAAGAUGGUUCCCUUUCUCUGUUUGAGAGAGCUCCUUGACCUGUGCUCUCAACGCUUGUAGGCUUGUGGUAUAGUUAAAUUCGUACUCGUAUCAAGCUAUGGUCUCCGCCCCUUUCUCUCCAUCAGUCUAGAGAGUACCUUACCAGUCAUACUUUUCUCCCCAAGGAUUCCUUAUUUCCUGUGCUCCCAAAUGGAUAUCAUAGACCGCUCUGCAGAUUGGAUGAGAAAUGAGCAACGGAGCUCCUUGCAAAUGCAUUAAAGAUAAAAAAAACUUUCCUGCUUCUCUAUUUUUGGUUACAGAAUCAUAUCUAGUACAGAAUAAAGCCAAAGCCUGCAACUUUCAUUUAAGCUGCAAACUAUUGCUUACUGCAAUAUUAUAGUUGUUUUUCUGAUAUCUUCAACUACCCAUUUAACUCACACCCCAUCAGGUACUCAGGACUGCAUUUGAGAUUGUCCGCCUCAUUUAGAACACAGUUCCUGCAGAACAAAGAAUCACCUCAACCAUCAUCAUUGUUUGCCCACUAACUUUUAUAUUAAAGAACAAAGAAAUAUGGGGCACAUCUUCCAGAUAGCCAUGAGAGAAUCACAAAAUCUCUGUCGCAAAAUGCUGUCAAGUAUUAGUGAAAUCUCAAGAUGAGUUUCGAGUAUGCAUAGGUAUUAUAUUGCAGGCUUUGAAACAUCAGGAAACACCCAACUGCAAUGAUAGGCAGCCAUAGGACUAUACUGUAUUCCUAUCAAUAAUAAUCUAAAAGUAAGAUCAGUUGAGGGGGAGAACUUCAAACUAUAAGCAAAGAAGCAACAUCAUAAGGUUUUCAUGAUUUUGAGUUGAAUUCAGAGAAACAUCAUUCCGCAAUAAGAUUUUCAUGUCAUUGUUGAAAAAUUCAACCCUCUUGAAUAAAAGUUGUUACUUUUUCCUUCCAGAGUCACAAGAAAGCCAAAAAGAUGACUUCUGCAGAACAAUUGCUUAUUUCAAACACAAUUUUCCAUCACAAGAAUCAUUACAAAUUUAAACGUUCAAAUGUCUAAUCAUGUAAUUCUCUCAUGUUUCUUUCACUUUAUAAUAUUGCCAUUUCAUCAGAGGAAGGGAGAGAGAGAAGAAAUGAGACUUUAUGGAUAAAAAAGUAAAGUUUACGAAGUAUGUUAUUCCACAUUGCAAGCCAAGUAGAAUAAAAUGGAUAGAUUUUUAAGGGUCUAAAAAAUAAUAAUAAUUGCAAUAUAAUGAACUUCAACCUGCCAUCACAUACUCAUUGAGAUGUUCAUAUAAAGUCUCUAUAAAGUCGUACACAGAGGCUUUACAUGCAUGCUAGUCUCUCACGCUCAGAAAGAGGACAUACAGAAGUGCGCGCAGUCAAAACAAAUGCACAACCCACGGCGCAGAGUAACAGAUACACCGACUACACUUGUGGCAGCAGGAAAUCAUCUAAUGAUAUAAAUAAACAAAAUGAACUGUUAAAGGAGUAUCAAAAUACAUAAUAGUUGACAGAAUAAAGACAAACAUAAAUGUUCCUAAGAGUAUUGCAAUACGCAAAUGCAAUCAACUAUAGAAGUAACAAAAAGCUAUUCCAAAAAAAUUUUAAAAAUGGUUUCUGCUUUCAGCAGGAUGGCUCAAGAUAGAAUUCUGCAAGUUUCAAACGCCAGAAAAAGAGAAUAAUUUUAUGGCCUGCCAAUCAUGAAGGCCAUUGCUGUAAAAUUUUCUUGCAGAGUUAAGGACUACUAUGAUGCAAUGAGUGUCUGUUGUUAGCACAGAUAAAGAUUAAGGAAAAGAAAUUCCCAAUGGUAAAUUCUCCAUCUAUAACGUUUAUUAGAACUCUUCUGAGAAGGAUACAAACAACUGUAGCCUUAGGCCUGAAAAUUGGAAAUGUAAGCUUUAUUCACAAAGUUAAUAAAUUGAACAAACAAACUAUAGAGUCAGUUGAAGGAGAAAACUGACCAUUUUGAGACAGCUAGAUUCUUACAAUGUCAAUGUGUUUAUACUCUACCAUGUCAGACCCUGGAAAUAAUCAGUCCAAAGGCCUAUAUACAAACUAAUCAACUUAAUCCAAAAAUUCCAAUGACUUACUAUUUAUGUACUUCACAGUUGUCACAAAAAACAGUGUGGUCAACAUCAUUAUCAGAGUGGACCCUGCAACAGCAUCAACUCAAAGUCCCUUGUAACCUAAACUUCCCUUCCCAACAAAUAUUGCAACAAUAUUAUCGUUCAUUCUUCUAAUGCACGAAAGCAAACCUUCUCAAGUUGCAUCGGCCACUCUUCCCCUAGAAUCUGAGGGUUUAGUUCCAUUGCAAGCUGAAAAUCUAACAUAGACACUGAAAUGGGCCCACUUGGUCUUUGUAAACAUCUCACAGGCCACAACCCAUUCAAUCGAGAUACAGUAUGACAAUGUCCUUGGCCAGUAAAUUUCUUGCCAGAUCUUGAACCAGCUAAAUCCAUACAUGGCUUUAUCAAUCUCUUCAAGUAAACAUCCAGGCUGUUAUUUAACAAAUUGGCACAAUCAACAGAGACUUUUACUCCCUCCAUCUCCAAUUUCUUCUCUAACCUCUUCCUUAAAGAGUUGGUAUCCGGUAAUCCAAAAUUAUUUUGGCAUGUCUCCAUAUGAUAAGAAGAUGCCGGCCGAUUACAAAGCACUUUUCGUGCUCCUUUUGUGUUCAAUAGGAUGCCAAGAGGAGCUCUAACAGGGCUCCUACUAUAAAUGCUAGGACUUCCAGCAGCUUGAUCAACCUCUUCUCCAUCUUCCACAGAGCCUGGGGGUCUGCUGCCAAGAGAAAACAGUUCUGUAGCACUCUGUUGUUCUUGAUUUUUAGGGACUAAAUCUUCAAAUGCAAUAUUGUGACUCUUUCCAUGAGGGCCAAGAGGGCUAGGACGAUCCCUAAACUUGCGUUCACUAAGAACUGACCUCCCCUUACGAGGGGAUUGGAGAAAAUCUCUACAGAGGGACUGAAUACUACUUUUCUGAUACCCAUUGGACACUUUUACACCUAAACCACUUUCAGCUUUGCACUCCUUUGGUGGGGGCAUCUUCGAGAGAUGUGCAUUUUUUAUAAUUGAUCUGAGCAGAUGAUUAUGAAGGCGCAUGUUUUCCCUCCCUAUUGUACCAAUGAAGAGUCUAUCAAAGUCAGAUUUGCUAAUUUUAAGAGAUAAAAACUUUGUGAGGAGAUCAAAGUAUUUCUGUGCUUUUAGAUGCCCAAGCUUCCUCUCAAUCUGCAAUUUUAUUUCUACUGUAUCUAUCCGGGAAAAAUGCCGAGCUGCAGCCAUUUUAGUCUGAAAUCUCCUCACUAUAUCAAUCAUCAAAAUAAAAUAUUCCAGUUACACAACUCAUUACAACAAAAAUUGCAUGAAAGCUAGUUUCCCAAUUAAAUAGAUAAAAAUGAAAAAAAUUGUUAGUUUAAUUAUAAUCCAAGACCCUCAAUCCAUUUGUUUCUAGCAAUUCACUACCGCCAAGCAAAGUCAACAGUAGAAGAUUAACUAAAUUCUAAAACAAAAGAAACAACACCCGUAUAGAAAUUAAUAUCCAAACGCGAUUUUUAACUUCAUUUUGAUAAUUAAUCCUUCAAUUCAAUCAUUUAUACACUAAAUCAAAAGUCAAGCAUCGAAUACGAAAUCUUCACCACCCAACUUGGCUUUCACAUAAAACAAGCAAAGAAAACAACAUAACUCGACAAGAAUCAAACUUUCCAAAGAUAUAAUGGUAAAAUCCAGCUCCACGGAACAACCUACCAAAAUUUUCCCGAGAAAAGAAAAAAUAGAAAAAAAAACCCAGAAACCCAGCAGAGCAAUUCAGACAUUAAAAGAAGAAAGCAAAUAAAUGAAGUAAAGAAGAAGACAAAAGCGAACCUGAAUUGAAGAAGUACGCAAUUGAAUUGAAUUUCCUUAAGCCUUCACUGUAGUAUUGAAUGCAAUUCGAUGAUCAGUAGCUACUUUUUUCGACAAGAGAGAUUAGGGCUAGUAAGGAGCGAAAGAAGGAAGGAAACAACGAGGCUUUUCGAAGCUUCUUAUUAAGUCAUCCGAGUCAAUGUGCACGUGCGUUUUGACAAGUGUUAAGAGCUGUUUUGGUGCUUUUUUUUUCUUUGUUUUUCAAAGUUUUGUAAAAAUAAAAAUAAAUAAAUAUAAUAUAAUAUUAUACACCUGAAGUCACUGAGUCACUCACUCACAUAUCCAUUUUCUGUUCCCGGAAAGUGAGAGAAAAUUAUUGGGUCACAACGUGUCUAAAAGUGACAUGGACUGCAUGUCCGUUGGUUUAACACCUAAAUACUAGUCAAAUUUUAUUCGAAAAUGGCUUUUUUGGAAGUGAUUGAUAGAUCAUUAACGGGAAUGGAAGCAUUAUUUUUUUAUUUAGAAAUAAAUUAUUCCUUCCCAUUCCAAUUCAACGGUAAUAAAUACUCAUUUUACUUUAUUUCAUUUUAAACAUUCAUUUAAGAUUUUAAAAUUAUAUUAAUUAUUAUUUUUUCAACUUUACUCAUAUUAAUUAAGUCUGAUUUGUUUUUAUAUUUAUAUUCAAGAAGAGCAAUUUAGACAUUAUAUUACAUUCUUUUAGAAAAUCAAUAAAUUUCAGUCAUUUUCUUAAUCCAUGUGAAUAUAGCAAAUAUUGCUAUUAUUAAAUUGAGAUGUAAGGAGUAUUAUUCUUUAUAUUAAAAACAUAUAAGUCUUAUUACCAAAUCAAUAUGUGCAAAAAUAUUACGGAAAUGUCUAUAUAUUCUAAAACCGUGUCAAUCAAGUGUACUAUAAUUAAUCUUCUCACUCUCUAUUAAAUGAGAUUCGAGAUGAUGUCAAUUAAAUAUGAUAACAGUAAAAAUAUAUUAAUAUUUAUAAAAAAUAAUAAAAGUACAAAAAAACAAGAAAAACAUUUUUUUUAAUAAAAAAGGAAAGCUAAGCUUCAAGAGACAUACAAGCAUAAAAGAGAGUCAAGGAUAUAUAUAUAAGAAAGAUAUAUUUUUUAAAGAAAAAUCAACCAAAAUAAGAAAUAAAAGAUUAAUAAAAAAAUAAAGAAAGAAAACGACUAAAGUUUUUCCAACAAAUAAUAUAAUUUACAUGUUAAUUAUUAUAAUUAGUUUAAUUAUAAAAUUAUAAAAUCAACUGAUCGCUGAUCUUUGCAGAACCCUAAUCUUCCUUUUACCUAUAAUCAAAUUGAUUCACUGGAAGAAAAAAUGAGGCAAAUUUGGUAGUUCUAAGUAAUAACCCCAAAAUCAAGGCUCAAAAACUUGAUUCAUUAAACCAUGGCAAUUCAACAAAGUCUAUGCAUGCUCUUCUUAACACUUUCUAGGCAACCAAACAGGAAAAAAAGGUGUUACCUGGGCGAGUAAUGCAGUGACUUCUCCAAGCAACCGUGAUUCCAUUUUACUUUUUUUAUUUCUCAUAAUUUUCCCUCAUUUCUUUCUAUCCUUUUCUGUCAAUCGUUGAAACUCGAUCCAAAUUAAUUUAUAAAUUAAGCAGCCAAGAUCACAACUUAGCUAUUUGUAUGAUAUCUUAUUUUCAGACUGGAGUCUCAAGGAUAAUCCUUUGAGACAAAAGCUUCCCUCCAAUUUGGAGAUGAAAAGUUAUAAAAAUUCGACAGUGAAGAGAUUAUUUUGCUAUAUUUAUGCAUUACAACUUACAAGUUACAGUGGAUGCAUGAUUACUGCCCAUUCAUGAAAAGAAUAUAUUUUAUUGACGAAUGAGUAAAUAUAAUUAAAAGAGGAAAAAAAUAGCCCGCAAAUGAAUUUUACCUGCAACAUGUAAGAAUUUAAAAUUUAGAGUUGCUAUUAUAGAGAGAGCUUUAACUGAAUACCGUCCAGCAGGCCCCAGCAUAAAUAUACAUAUGCAAAAUAUUGUAGCUGAAUUAAUUACCCUAGAGAAACAAAAAUCGAAGCCGUUGUUUUCUGGGUCCUGAAUUAAUUUCUUUUAUCAGUGCAGGUUUCAAGCAUUUCAUUGGCUUCUGUGUUAUGACUAUAUAUUGUUGGUUAAAGCACUACAAUGAACAUAUUCUUCUCGAACUCCUUUUUAGGAUUUUUAGUAAGUUUUAUUUAAAAAAAAAAAAAAAAAAAAAAAGAAUUCUAAUUAGUAAGUUUUGACUCUCUAAUACAAGAUUUGUGCAAAACUUAUAAAAUUAGGAAUUUAAACCCUAAUUGAAGUCAAACUAAUUUAAAGGAGAGAAGAAGAAGAAGAAGGCAAUCUAUUAACAUAUCCAGACAGAUAAACUAGGAGAAACCCACUCUGAAAUCUCAAUAACGGUUGCCAAAUUAAGUUGGAAAUUAACUAAUAAACCCAAAAGAAUUAAAAUAAGAAAAAGUUGAAUAAAAAGAUAAUUAAGCAGAAAGCCAAGCAGUAGCAAAUACUACAUUAUGUCCUUUCCAAGUAAGUACAAGGUCUUCUUCUUCUUUCUUUAAUCCCCAACCUGCUGCAUGUUCAGCAAGCAUCGUUUUAACUUCAGAAACUGCAUCUUCUCCAAAAGAAACACUUGUAAAAUUUGCAUUUCUCAUUCUUUGAACCCAUUUGUUCUUUGGCUCGAUCCUUUCUACUCUUCGCAGCCCUUCAUAAGCUAUCACAUUCUCAAUCUUCCAACAAAUAUCAGCUUCAUACCAUUGCCUUUGCUUACUUCCUCUUGGAAGAAAAGUGUCCACAGUAUCAUAUGGAAUCCAUAAAUAAUUAAAAGCUGACCUCAAUCUACAAACUAAAUUAUUCGAAGUAAGAUCUGCAUCUUCAUCUACUAAAACAACAAUUGUUGGGUCUAAACUUCGAAGUGAUUUAAGAAACAUUGUUCGAAAAGAAGAAGCUGAGGUAGAGUCGAAAGGGUAAAUAUUAGAGUUGUUCAUAAUAAUACCAGAAGAAAGGGUUUCUUCGGGAAUGUAAUGAAGUAACAUAUGACAGUUAAUAACAAGUGCUUCGUUAUAACUUUCUGCGUACACCAAAUUCUGCAUUACUCGAAGCUGUUCGAUUAAAGUAGAAAAUCCAUCAGAAUAACUCGAAGGAACAACUCGAAAUUCCAAAAUUACGUUUCGGGACCUAGCGAAAUUUAUCAACUUAGAGCCUAACUCUUGAUAAGAAAGAUCAAGCAUAGGAGGAAAUAUAAUAUCUUCAUCAAUAGGACUAACAACAGUAAGCUUUAUCAAUGGAGUAACCUCGAAACGACUAGAAAUAGCAUCGAUAAGAGUAGGGAUUUGCAUGCAAUGAGUUAAGCUUAAAUCUACAAUAUGAACAACUGAAAACCCUUCAAUAGCUUCUAAAAUAGCAGCAUUAGCAGCAGUGAAACCGAAACGAUGCCAUGGAGUUAAAUCAACAAAACCAGCAAGUUCAAUAACAGAAAAUUUAUGGGUAUUUAUAGAAAGAUUAUUGCAAUGAGCAUUAGCCAUAGCAGCAAGAAGUUUACAAGUACCACUUUUAGCAGCACGUGCAAUAAGAGCUUUAAGGAAAGCACAAGUGAGCCUUUGAUUAGAGUCACCUUCAGGAGAAGCAAUGUUGUUUAAGACCCAUAGAAUUUGUUGAGCUAAAGUAGCAUCAUUGCUUUGAAUUGCGUUUGCGCAAUGAACUAAAAGCUGUUCCAUGCAAUUUGCGUCUCCUAAACUGCUUAAAGAUUUGGAAGAAGGGAAACCAGCUGGCCAUGGACGAGCUCUUUGGGUUUGAUUUUUGUUCAUUGUAGAGAUUUGGUGCAAAGGAGGUGGUGGAGUUUCAGUAAAUUGCAUCAUUGACAAAGAAAGACAGAAAGAAAGUAAGAAAGAAAGGGAGCAAAAAGGACAGAUAAAAUGAAAAUCAGAAAUCUGAAAAGAGCAGAAAAGAUGGAAAAAGACCAGACUAAUAGUAGUGGGUACCUUAAAUUUUCCUCUUUUUUGGGUAUUGGGAACGGAAUCAAUAUAGACAGACUGGAAGAAUUCUGUAAAUGAAUCUAAAGAAAUAGACAGUUCAGCUUUAUUUGGGGAUUAUAUUGAAUAGGGAAAAAGGACUGAUCAAUAGAAGAAAUAAAACCCUCAUCCCAAAAACUUUUAGUUCAAGUCAAAAUUUUGGGCAAAAAAUUAAAUAGAGGCUAUUCCUUUGAUCAAGAACAGCCCUUUUUCAGUAUUAUCGAGAUGUAUUGAAGAAGGCACCAAUUCAAGAAACCUUUCUUGGGCAUGAAAAGGUUAAUUCUUUUUCUUGAUUUCUCUCUUUGAGCUCAGGAAGCAAGAGAGAGAAGAAAAACGAUGAGGAAAUAUAAAGGAGAGAAUGAAAGGAGGGUAGGCUAAUUCCUGUUGAUUUUUGGUGGCAUGUGAAGUAGCCGGCCAGGGUCUUGUCUUUAUGUGGGAGUUGUGAUUUCGUCAUGUAAUGAGAGUGGUGGGGAUACUUGUUAGAAAGAUCACUCACUCACGGGACACCCAUUAUAAUAUUUGUAUACUUCCCAUCAUCAACAAAUCAUUUUCUGCAUUUUAACUUUUUUCUUGAUACCCUAAAUUAAUUUUCAGGGUUUUCUAAAUUCACAAUCUAUCAUCAUGAAAUAACUUAAUUCACUAAUUUUGAAUAGGAAGGUACCAUAAAAAUGACUUAUAGCAGACAAAAUUCUGUCAUUUUCCAAAUCCUACAACGACAAUCAUUCUCUUAUCAAGUGAUUUCAUUUCCCUCCCUCUCUUAAUUAACUAAUUAUAUAACCAAGAGCUCUCUCUAUCAUCACCUCAUGUUUCAUAUGCUUUCUACAACAAAGCCAAAGCCUCCUCCAUAAAUAACAAGCUAUAGCAUCUACGUGUAAGCCUAAAAAUGAGACAAAACAGUAUUUAUAUAUACAAUAAUACAAACAUAAACAAAUAUAUUAGUCGCUAUUAUUCCUAGUCCUAGCUACUAACAAUGGUUACACUCAAACAAAGACACCAAGAGUCUGCGACUGCGAGCAUAGAAAAAUAUAUACAUAUAUAUCAAUAUUUCUAUGCUCCUUUCGUUUUCCCAAGCCAUUCCAACGCCAUAGGUUAGACAGUACAGCACGUCUUUUUGAGCUAAAUUUUGGCUUAUCUGAAAAUUUAUACUCAUCUCCACCCACAAAAUUCCAUGUGGCGAAGUCAAUAUGAUACUAUAAUAAACAUUCUCCAUUGUUCUCUUUUCUCUCUCUCUCUCUCUCUCUCUCUUUCUUCUAAAUUAGUGAAGAUGGAUCUUAUCCAGGACCAGUUUGAGAUAUCAUUUCUGUACGUAUAUGAAUAACAGGGCAUAUUUAUAAGGAUUAUAUUGGGUAAAUACAUAUGUUUUGAAUUAAGGAGUAUAUAUACACACACAAAUAUAUUCCUUAGUUGUGGAAUGGGAUUUUAUUCCUGCACUGCACCUUUACACGUGAUAUGUAUAGCACCUUUUUGUUCCCUUGCAACAGUACUAAACCUUUUUCUCCCAACCCUCUAGCCCCACUCUGAAAUAGACCAUUCAACCAUGCCCUCCAGUCAGGGGGACACCCCAUUUUUUGGCCUUCUAAUUAACAUAACUAAUUACUAUUAUUUAUGGAUAUUAUACAGAAGUUGAUUCAUUAUAUUACUAAAUGCACAAACUUAAUUAAGUUUUGGCAAAUUAACAUUAACUGAAAUAUUAGUAGCAUAUAUUAUCCCUAGAGAUAUUACUGGUAAAUGAUUGUGUUGUCACAUCUUAGUAACCGUACUUCUGAUAACUUUAUGAAAUGCUUCAUGUGAUUUCCAAGCUGUGGUAGCCCUUCUAGGGCCAUAUACAAAUCUUUCCUUAGCCAUUAUAUAACAGAUAUACGAUUUUACAGUUGACACCAACAAAACCCUAAUUAUAUACAUAUACAUAAAAAAUAAAAGAAAGAAGAGAUUUACACAGGCUGUGGCUCUCACAACCUGUCUAUAUUAACAAUUACAUUCCUGGCAUGAUAACAGCAAUACCACAACUGCUAAAAGUUUUUCAAGGCCAUUACACUCUUUUCAUCCCGUUUACACUCUCUGGCUGUGCAUGACACAAGUUGUGCCGAAAAUGUUUUUUCAAAGAAAGAAAAAGAAAAAGCUUGCUCCAUGUUGGUCCUUAGCAAAUUAUAUUUAUCAGUAUGGUAAAAUUUAAAAGCCUCUUAUUGUUAGAGAACUAGAGAAAAGCUGACUCAGUUUUUUCACUCUCGUUAGCCCUUAUUUUGUUCACAAAAUCAAUUAAAUAUUAAAAUAUAAACUAAUGUUGAUUAUCUGUCUGAGAGGACAUUGAUGAAAUAAUUAAAUGUAUGCAGUAAUAUAUAGGUAAAGAAGAGUAUGAGAAGAAGAAUCAAGAAUCUAAGAAAAGCACAUAAGGAGAAACAUAUAAGUUAAGGUUGUAUGGUUUUAAUAAAUGAAACUUUAUAAUUUUGAGGAGGAUUCCUAAACUUUUUAGAUACAACAACUAAAUGACACACAAAGCUAAAUUAAAAAGGAAAAAGAAAAGAUUUCAAGAAAGUUUUGGAAUUUUUCUGAAGGGAAUUCUUGGGCACCAACACCAAUGGCCUUUGGGUUUUCAUUCAUUAAGACAAGAUAUAAAACAAAGCACAUGAAAGUAAGGAAUUAGCAAGUAACCAUGUGCUUAAAGAUACCCAUCGAUAUGAUUAUUGAUAAGGAAUUAUAUAAUUUGUUUUUAUUUGGAUUAUAAAGUAAUUAUGAACUAUAAUUAGAACACUUGGAGCAGUAUUAUAUAUGUUUGUUUAAAGUUUAAACAGUAGAGAACUUGCCUAAAACAUAUGGAGGACAAAAGAAAGAAGACAUUGGCUUCGAAUGUUGAGCUAUAGAAAAAAGGGAAAUGCCUUUUUCAUGCACAUUGAUUUAUCAGAAUUACUUAUUUUGGUGACUUCUCGUGGAUUUAAGCCAGAUGAAUCCACCCAAUCAUUACUAAGAGUGACCUACCUACCUAGCUAGCUACCUUAUUGUAUGAGAUUUAUUUUUUUAAAAAAAAUAAUAAACUAAAUAGCUAACAACUGCACUAAUAUUUAUUAAAGAACUAACCAAAGAGUGUUGAAAUGAGUGGUUCGACACUCUUCUCCUUAAGUAAGGUUGAGGUUCGAUCCUAAUAAAUGGAGUAAAUAAGAGCAUUUUACCUUUUAACAGGCCAAUCAACAUUUAGUUGAAGUAUCACUUAAAAUUAUUUGAGCAAUAAUAUCCUAGUAGUUACUGAGUUGCUGAUGAUACACUCGCUUUACAGUUAACUUCAUCCACUGGACGGCUUCUUUAAGGACCACUCGCUGUCUCUUCUCCACUCGUUAAGAAUUGGACCCCUUGGCCCAACACCUGAGUCCCAACUUACUGUUCUAUUAUGUUUUUUUGCCAAUUGCUUCGAAUUUUCAUCAACUUGAAUAAUGGAUAUGUUUAUUAUUAUUGCGUGUUUUAUAUUUUUAUUAAACACUGUUCAUUAAUUUAUAAAAUUCACAUCUAUAAAAAUAAAUUUCAGAUUUACAAUUUUUGUUCCUAUCUAGCCACGAAGCCAAGACCAUGGGAUAAGAUUUUUGAUGUGGUAAUUUGUAUUUAAUGCACAUUGGGGUUGCUCUCCACUCCCGGCGAUGAAUGUAUUAAAUACUACGUCGUUUGCAUCUUUGAAUUAUCUUCUGUAUAAUGGGCCUGUUGCUGCCUGUAGUUGGUUUGUUGGGCAUAUUUGGGCCUUUCUUUUAUUUUUCCUCUGCCAAUAUUUGUCACUCUUGAAGCCCAUUGUUUGUGUAAUCUGAUUAUAAUAAUGAUUUUUGUAAUAUCAUAAAAAGAAAAGGAUAUCAAAUAAAACCAAAUAAUAAUUAAGCUACAAGACAUUUGUUUAUUUAUUUAUUUUUCUUCAUACGGGAAAAAUACAUCUGAUGUGAAAAUAAACUACAAAUCGAUCAUCAUGUCCUUGGGAUGUUCGAUUGCUUGAAUAUAAAAAUUUAACACUAUGCAAACUUUAAAAUGUCUGAAACAAUAUAAUACAUUAAAAAAAAAAAAUAGUACAUUCUCAUAAUUGAGUCAUUUUUAUUAAUAGAUAGAAUGGUUUAGUUUUUUGUUCUUUUAUAAAAAAAAUCAAAUACAAGGUACAGGAAAAGGUUGGAGAAUAAGAAAAUUAAAAAAAGAGGCAACCACCUCGUGCUCAAUCUGAAAUUUGAAUUAUAUCGAAUUCAUGAUGCUCUCCGCCUGCAAAUCGCAUACCCAAGAAGAUGGACCUUAACCAUGGGAGCAUUAUGGCAAAUAUCAGUUUUUGUAGGUCCCCCUCAUGGUUCAUGCACCCACCAUUUUAUUCCCUUCUCUACCUUCUAGAAGAGAAAGGGAAAAUAUUAUUUUUCUCUUUUUUUAUAAAUCAAUUUAAAGUUUUAUAAUUAUCACAUAAUAAAUAGAAUAAUCUUUCAAAUCAGAAUUUCAUAUAGUCUCUAUAUUGAUUUUGUAAUUUUUCCAUUUGUCCUAUCAAACUCAGUAUUUUAUUUUAUGAUGCCACUAAGACAAUGUUUUUAAAUUACUUCAUAAAUUUAACAAUAAAAUUAUAUUUCAAUUAAAGAAUUGGUACAUAUUUUUUAAGAUAUUAAAAUGAAAAAUCAGUACAAUUUUUUUUUUAAUGAGAAUAAAAAAAUUUUAUUAAAAGAAAUAAAAAGUUAAUUAAAUUAUUUUUUAUUCAAUAAUUAAAUUAAAAUUUCAGUACUAAAUAAAAACUUAUCUUAAUAGAAGCAUUAUAGACAGGGAUUGGUUUUGGGCUGCCAGAUGCAGAGUAGGCCGUGACUAGGAUGGAGGGGACAUGUUCACGUGGGAUAAAACAUUCUCUGACGUCAGCUUGUCCAAGGGUUCAGGAGUACCAUCUUAACAACCCGUGCCUUGCUUUUCGGUCAACGAUGCCGGCGCCUGCGCUUCUUGGACCUAAAGCCCAUACUCUGUUUUUUUUUUUGCAAAAAUAAAAAUAUAUCGAGAUAUUAGUUAAGGGAAAUUAGUGUCUAUGUCAUUAAUUAGAAUGCGUCACUUUCAUAGCAGGGAAAUGGAAUGCCAAGAGUAAAAAUUAUUAUGUGGGAGACCAACUACCUACUCUCGGUAUAUCGACGUACUCAUAUAUUAAAAUAAUAAAUACAAUUUUUAGUUAAAUAAAUAUAUUCUUAUUAUAAUAAAAUUACACAAAAUCAAAAGAAGGUAUUAUAUUUCUUUUUUUUUUUUUUUUCUCAGUGAAUGGUAUUUCUUACCAUAUUUAGGUUUAAAAGAAAGUUUUUCUUACUAUCAAGAAAAAGAGAGUUAUAGAGGAUUGUGAAGAAAAUUGGAGUCAGUUUUAAUGUAUUUUUAAUUAGUUUGGGGCAUGAGGUGGAACGUAGAUAGGUGUUUCUUCUUUUUUUUUUUUUUUUUUUUUUUUUUUUUUGACAUUAAAGAUAGGUGUUUCUGUAUAAGGGAGUAAAUGGCAUGGCAUGACUUUAAAAAUGAUUGAAAGGCCAGACCGAGACGUCCCUUGCGGAAGCCAAGACUUAAACCCUCCAAUGAAGGCUUUUUAAGUUAUAGAUGUUAAAGCAGCGGCAUAUAUUCAGAAUCGCAAAAGCCAACAAAUGGGGUCCCUCUAAAAAUAUAUGGAGAAGGUAACAACGUCAUCCUCAUCCACUCUCAGGCUAACCCAAACUCUCAACUUGCAAUAACAAAUCGACCUCUCCAUUUUCACUACUUGCACGCCAAUCUUUCAAAUACCAUUAAAAAAUAACACCCUUUAUUUACUUAUCAAGAUUCUUAUUAUUAAAAUAUAUAAUGCCUUAACCUAAUCAUAAAUCUGAAACUGUCCAUCAAAAUUUAAAUAUCCUGCAAAGUUUAAUGUUUAUAAAUAAUACUUGACUCAAUAUCACUCAUCUUGUGGGUUUUCUCAUGUUUUAAUUAAUUAUUGUUAAAAUAAAUUAUUAGUAAGGAGGCCAAGGGCUUGGACCUACCCUGAAAUUUUAAUUUGCUAUUAUAUUUUUAAAAAAUAUAUAUAAUAUAAACAGAGGCUUGCAUCUCUACCAAGAAGUUUGGAAUUUGUGGGGGGAUUACUUUAUUUAAAUGGAAGGGAGAGGGCGAAAGAAAUUAGGAAAGGGAGCGGUGGUGGAAUCCGCGUCACAGCUUCUCUCCGUUUGUCGGUUUUUCUUUGAUUUAAUAAUAAACAAGUGCUGGCCAACCAAAUUUACUUAAUUAUGCUUUUUCUGAUGUGGUUUUUCUUUUAAUGGGAUCUGAUAUUAUGCAACCGGGUUUUACAUACUUUAUGCUACAACCACGAAUGUUAGAACACAAACUUCUCCACCAAGUGUAGGUAAUUGUAAUUGGUUGCCAAUUUUAUUAAAUUCACCAAUAUAGUUUGGCAUAAUUAAUGUAAAAAUUAAUGCAGUCAAUUUAAUUCGGUUAAAUUUGUUAUUCAGUUAAAAUUUAAUUGAUUUAAAAAAUAAUUCGAUUCACUUGGUUGUAUUAAAAAUUCUAUUCAAAUACUUGUUUCACUGUCAUUUCUAUUCAGGAUGUUUAAAAUCUAAAACUAUUAUUGCUCAGCAGACAUUGCCUAAAUAAUAUAGAUUUAUCAAUUAAUUUUAAUUCAAUAAGUUUGAAAUUAUUUUUAAAAUUAAAAAUGAAAUUUGAAAAAAAAAAAACAAAUCAAUUAAAUGGUUAGUAAUGAUAAAUAGAUACUAUUAACUAUGCAUCUGUAAUAGUAUGUUUUUUUAUAUUAUUUUUUUGAACAAUUAUUUCUACGUAUUUAAUUGAAGAUUUGCAUUAAAUGAAUAACUUUUUCAGCAUAUUUUAUAAUAAUAGUAUUAAUACAAUUUGUACGUAUCUAACUGGACUAAAUAGAGAAUUAUUGUUUUAUACUGACUUUUAAAACAUAUUCUCUUGAGCAUUAGAAAUAAGAUUUAUGUUCUUAAUUUUGAUUUAAUUAGUAUGAACAAAUGCACAUUGCUUUGUGUUUUAAUUGAUUAAAAAGUGAGUUUCAUUUAUUGAGAAAAUAAUUCUCAGCGAAUUGGGCAAAAACAACUUUUAUUUGUGAAAUAUUAAUCAAUGAUAAAAUCUAUGUGAUGACUCACUUUAAGUAAACUUAUAAGGUUUCAUUGUGUAAAUAUUGCAUGUAGAUUUUUAAUCCAACGCAUGAAAUAAGCUAAGCGACAAUCUUAAAGAUUAAAAUUAUUAUUUAAAUAAAUUGUCAGUGAUUUAUUUUAUUUGACAAGAAUCUGUAAUCUUUACAUGGAGAACAUAAAUUAUUAUGCUGUGGAAAGUUGAAUUAAUAAGGAGUUCAAUCAUGAAUUUUUAGUGGAAUAAUUUAUAAUUAAUUAUAAUAAGAAUAUACUGGUCCUGUAUGGAUUCUUAUUAUAAUUUGUAGCCUUAUUAAUUUAUUCAUCGGUCUUUAUUGUGCCUUAAUUAUUUGGACUGUAUGUGGGUUAUGUAUUUUAAAUUAUUAAUAGAUUAAUUUUUUAAUUAAAAUUUUAUUGAUUAAUUUUAAUUAAAAAAGGAAUAAUAUAUUUUUAUUUAAAAUAUUAACUGCGUGGGUGACAGAACGAUAAAAAGAAAAUAUUGUUCGCUUCCCACAUGGAGAAGAGAGGACAUUCAUUUUUUAAUACCAUCUUCCUGUAGAAAUAUAUUCAGAAGAAAACGGUGUAGAUUCUCAAGAAACAGACGUAUUGUUUUUUUUUUUUCUACCUACUAAGAAAAAUAAGAUUCAUAGAAUCAAUUAAUGUCUAUAGCAGAAAACUGCAGGGUAACUUGAAGAUAUCUGGAAAGAAUACGGUGAGCAAUUCUGCACUACAACAUAUUAGUUCUUGUUUGAUUUGUGUUUUUUAUUUGCUUUCGUACUUGUUUAGAUUCUGGAUUGCUUCCACUGCAUAAUUCCUAGUCCCAUCAAGUAAUAUUUAUUAAACAAAAUUAUACUCUCUUCAUCCGAAAAUAUAGUUUGUUUUAGGGUUAUUGUUUUUGUUCCAAAAUAUAAGAUGCUUUGAAUAUUUUAUAGAGUAAUAAAUGAAAAUUUUGAACUUUACUCUUCUUACUAUCUUCAUAAAUUACCCUUAGUUUUGAUAAAAAGGGUAAUUUGAUCAAAUUACUUGUAGUUUUUCUAUAAUUUAGAGAAAUUAAUUACUUCUUUAAUUUAUAGAAAAACCUUAAAAGAUUUAUAUUUUAAGACCAGAGAAAAUAAGUAAUACCACAAGGUAAAGACUACCAUAAGUAAAAAAAGAUGGUGACUUUUAUGUGAAAGCUGUAUUCGGUAACAACUUUUGAAGUAGCUUUUAGUAUUUUAAGCAAUCAAAAAGGUGAAUUUUUUUUUUACAAUGCUCGGUAAUAUAACGUUUGAACUAACUUUUAGAAGUUAAGAUAACGUUUUAUAAAAGGUAGGUUAAUCUCUGUAACGUUUAGUUUUUAGCAUUUUAUGAAAAAGCUACUAAAACAAUUAACAGCUAUCAAAACAAUUAAUUUUGCAUGUCAAAUCUGAAAAAUAAUAAUUUAAUAAAGUGAUUAAAUAGUAAUAAGUUUACUUUUGGUUCUCAUGCUUAAUGAUUUUUUGAAAUGGCAAAAUAGUUUUUCUAAAAAAUAAAAAGAAAAUGGUAGAAUAGUUAUUGGAUGCCACAAAAGGUGGCGAUAACACCAAGUGGGAAGGAGCCAAGCAAAGCAGAGUUGGGCGGUGACUGAUGGAAAUGGAAACAACCAAAAAUUUUCCCAAGUGGUGGAGAAGGUUCCGUGGGGUUCACUUCCAAAUGCGGCGAGACGCAGCAUAACAUGUAAAAAAGAAAUUUAACGGAAAAUAAUAAUAAUAAUAGAAAGAAAAAAAAAAAAAAGCAUUUUCUUCACUUUACAAAAAUUGAUCUCUCUCUCUCUCUCUCUCUCUCUCUCUCUCUCUCUCUCUGAUUCACAAAUAAAAAAAAUCCAAUCGCAUUGAUGAUGUGGAUCCCACCACUCCCAAGAUAGGAGGAGAUGAUAAUGGCUUCACUUCAAGUGGCAUCGUAAUAAAUUUUAAAAAGUGCUAAUAGUAUUUUCUGUUUUAUAAUAAUUGUCCGUAUUACAUUCUAAUUAUAUUUAAUUUUAAUUAAAUGUAAAAAAUUGAAAUUCAACUUUUACCUUUUAAAUUUUUAAUUAAAAUUAUCCGUAAAUAAUGAUAUAUAUAAAAUUAGUUUGAUACGUAAAAAUUUGUGAAAAAAAAAAGUAAAAAAAAAAUAGCAAUGAAACUAUUGCAUCAGUAGACUAUAAAUUUUUGCAUGAAAAAGAAAAAUAACACUGUGAAGUUAAAGAAUAAAAAGGAAAAUGUUAAUUAAUUAAUUAAGACCCACAGAGAGGAGGUAAUAAAACGACAGCCAAAAUCGACGGUGACAUGGGCCGUACUGAUUGCUGCCCAUUGGCCAAGAAAGAGACGUAGGAACUGCGACUUUUGUAGGUCCCAUGCUCAGUAGAAUAAUAAAUAAAUAAUAAAUAAAAUAAAACACAAUCUUCUCCCAAUCCCAAUCUCAAUCCAUUGAUUCCUCCUCUUCUUCACGUCUCUUUGCGUCUUCCAAAAGCCGCCUCCUUUCUCUCUCUCCAUCCCCUCCUGCCAAGCUGUACAGCCGAAAGGAAGUAUAACAAUAUUUGCUAUACUUGAUUCUUGUUUGCUUCAAAAUAAUCUAUCAUAGGACAAUAUAAUUUUCAAAAUAUAUUUUUAAACAAAUUAUUUAAAGAAAUAAUAUGAUUUACAUUUAUUUAGAAUUUAUUAAUAAGAAAAUUAUUCUCAAAUUAUGCUUUUUAGUUUUCUUACCUCAUAAUAAGAUAGCGACAGCCACAACCACGGUUAUACUCGAUGUGUUUCUUUAUAUUUGACAAUUUUUUUACUUUGCAUAGAAAUUAAAAAAAUAAUUCGAUUAUUUUAAUUUUAUAAAAAUUAAGAGUAAUUGACUAAUUAUUUUUUAAUUAAUAUUCAUUUAAUUGAAAUUAAGUUUAAUGUAAAUCUCUUGACAAAGGUAAAAUUAAAUUAAAAUAAUUAAUACUAUCUUAAUUUUCUAAGUGUCAUCUAAAUGGAAAAAAAAAAUAAAAAAACUAUCAAAUGUAACAAAAUUAAUUUUCUUUUAUACAUCAUAUCACACGGUUAAGUCUCAUUAUUUGUUUAUUCAUAAUAAACUUAUUUUUCUUUUUCAUCAAACGCAUGUACAAAUAAUUCUUUUUAUAUAUAUAGUUAUUAUUUAUUUUGAACGCUGUGUUAGGUUUAAAAGUAAUUUUAAAACUAAAACAGGGGCUAAGAUGGGUGGUACUAGCUUAGAUAAGGUCAGUUACCUACUAGAGCUAAAUUAUUUUGUCCGCAGAAAUGACAUACGAUUCCUCCAAUAAAAUAGGUGUUUAGCUUCUAUGCCGCGUAGGAAACUGGUCAAGGCUUGAACUUAGUAAACCAAACUUUCCUUCCCAUAACUUACUCUUGGAUACCCCCAAGGUUGGAUUCAUUAACGUCAAAUCAAAAUUUCUAAAUUUUAAAUGAUUUUUAAAUUAAAAUACUUUUUCAAGUUGCAACUAUAUGCAUUUUUUUUUUUUUUUUUUUUUUUUUAGUGCAAUGAAAGAUGAACUAACUAAGUAGAUGUAAAUUGUUGUUUAAAGAAUUGGAAAUUACAUGUGAACAAUCUACCCAAAUUCACUCUCAAAAUGUAAAAAACAUGAAUUAGGGGGAUGUAACUUAGGUAGGGUUUGAUUUCUUUGUUAUGGGCAUAGCUGACAACUCAACUUGACCCACUCCAGAAUUAUCUAAACACACACCAAUCACAUGCACAUGCAUUAACCCAUUACUAAAAAUGAAAUAGCUCUAAAUUUAUUAGAUAUACGAGAAUAAAAAAAUUCUAUAUCAUUAAAUAAACAAGGAAAAAUAAUUCUCGAAAGAAGAAAGUAAUUUGAUUUAUUAUUCAUGUCAUACAGUCAUCACUUGACACAAAAGAAAUUAAAACAAAAAAAACAAAAGGAAAAUUACCGGCAAAUUCAUUUGUUCUCUUGAAGAGUAGUAAAAAGAGAAAUCCUCAACCGGUAAUUUACAAAAGCUCGCCGGAAAAGUAAUCUGAUCCCGGGUAAAAGUAACAAAAAAUCAUCUAUAAAGGACUAAAGAGGAAUUAAUAUUUUUCUCUUCCUUCCAUGGUGAACGUCAGAUUCACAAAACUAAACAAAAAGAGAAAUUAUCCUCUUCUCUUCUCUGUAUAAUCUGUCUAAACAAACAGGUUGAGCAGUUUUCUCUCUCCUCCAUUACCGUAUUGGUGAUCUCCCAGUAUAAUCUCAGAGCAUGUUGUCGUUGUGGUCACCGACUCCUCCGAAUUCAUCGACGGUGUUCCCGACCGCCGGGCUUCCGGUUUACACGGCGAAGUUUUAGGGGAAAAAUUCGGAGUAAGGCGAAGAUCCAGAUCGUUUGGAGGGAACUGUAGUUGUAGCCGUUGCCGCUUUAUGGUUACCGGUUCAUCAUUUCUUUUUCGUUUUGGCGAAACUUUAGAUCUCGAAUUAGAGAAUCGGGAAUGAGGAUUCGGAACCUGCAAAUUCCACAUGUCCGUACAAGUCCCUUCCGCUUCCGACCCUUCAUCGGACGUCGGAGACCGAGAUCCUUCUUCGCCGGAGAGUAAUUCAGGCAACGGCCGUAGCAUGCCGCCGCGUAACACGGUUUCUACAGCGGCUUGACAAACAUGCCAGUUACCAGUCCAAAGUAAACCUACGGCGCCGUUUACAGGAUUAACUGUUCUACCGCAGGCUUCAAAUAACAAAGAUUGAAACAAAGCUGAAAAAUCAAGAAAAACCAACGUCAAAACGAAGAUCCGUUUCUUUUUCUUUAAGAAAAAGAAAAAAAAAAAAAGUACUAGGGCUUAAUUUAGUGUAUAUAUACUAACCAGGGCGCUGGCUUUCAGGUACAGCAGAGAUAAAAGACAUGAGGCCGGCACGGCCAAAGAAUUUUGCGACGAAGACAGUAGCGUGGCCUUGUGCUUCAGGGCUCUCGAUCCAUUGUAAACAUGGCCGUAGAAUACAGGUUUCGCUGCACCCUUUGCGUAAGACUCUGCACCCGUUGCAACUCAUUUCUUUUCCUUUUCACUUCAAUAAUAGUCACAUGAACACAGUGGCUUACCCCAACCCGAAAAUGGUAAUUUUAAGCAACACAAAAAUUUUCUUUGGGCACAAGGCUAAGAUUGAGGAGAGGAAGACAGAGAGAUGAAGAGGAGAAAUUAAGGUUGCAAGGAAAAGGUGAAGAAGGUAUAUAUAGAAAGUGGGAAAGGAUUAUUGAAGGGGUUGGUUUGGGUUUAAUAGUUAACUAGAGUUGAGUUAGUUAAAUAGUGGGUGGGUGUGCGUAUUUAAAAACUGAGGGAGAAGGACAUUGGGAAAAGAAAGGGGGUUAGAUUCCAAAGACUUGGGUGCAAGCGGCUCCGUGUCUCCGCGGAUGGUUGUCCCUCCACCGUUGGAUUCUUAAAAUUUUUAAUUUUUUUUUGAAAAAAAGAGUCAAGUGUCGUGAUUUUGGGUUUUUGUGGUGGUGGAUAUUUGAAUUGAUUGGUGCUCUGGUUUCGCUUUCGUCAUAAUUUAAUUAAAAUUAAUUCAUUUUAGUCUUUAUUCCAUUCAACGUUCCUUGGCAUGAUGAUGGAGAGGAAUGGUUAUAGAAUUAGAAGAAGAAAAGAUGGGAGUUGUUAUAAAAUAAUAUGGCAUGCACAUAUGUGGAGAAAUGGGAAAAUAUUCGCAUUGUAGUUGUGGGGAUAUGACGACGCUGGUAGUGUAGUGGGAGGAGAAAAAAGAUAGUAUUUUUAGUGGCUAAUCAGUGGUGCGAGAUUAGGAAACACAUCCAUUGUAAGCGGUGCCAGUUUUCUCAUCUCAAAUAUUUUAGAUCACCCAUUUCUUUUUCAUUAUUAUAUCUUAAAUCUCUAAUUUUUCUUUUCACAAAUUGCAAAUGUUUUACAGUAUUAAUUCCCUGGUGUACACUCCAAUUUGCAUCAACACAGUUUUAGCAUGACCACUCUGACUCUACCAAUGUUAAAGAGUUACCAUCCUCAUUUGGUAAUAAAUGUUGUACUUAGUUAACAAGAAUAAUAUGAAUAUAGAUGAUGCAGAGGACAGGGCACAAUUAGAUAAUUCAUCCAAGAAAACUCCUUCACUUGUCUAAUUUGCCAAAUCCAGUUCAUUUUAAAUGAGUAUAUUGUCCCACACUAUAUAUACAUACAUCCAAAUUCAGGCGCAUAUAUAUAGAUAUUGUUAUCUUGUUGGAAUUAAUAGAUUUAUUAUCCUAGUUUUAGUCUGGCAAUUAUUCAUUAAGAAAUAGGUUAGAAAACCUUAUCUUUUGAGUGCAUGAUUAGUUGUCUGUACAUAAGAAAGUAGUCCGUAUAUGUUAAAUAAGAAUGAUUUUUAAUUUGUUUCAAUAAGCUAAACUAUCUGUGGUACAGCUUGCACUAUCUAGUAUUUAUCUAUGAUAAGGUGAUAACAUUUGAAAAAAAAAAAAAAAGAUAAAAAGAGUAUUGCAUAGUUCAGAAAUAGUAAAUUAAGCUCCACUUUAUCAAAUAAAUAAUUACUAUAUAUAACACUUGAAACUUGUAAAUAAUAUAUAGUUUUAAAGAAGUGAUUUCAUGUGAGUAAUAGACAACAGAUAGCCAAAAUAUCGGAAAUAUCUACUACCUUAGUCUAAUUAAUUAAUCUAUUAUCUAUAAUACAUGCAAAUAUGGGAAUUGAAAGGGAGAACUUUAAGAUAGAUAGCCACAACGAUGACAUAGUUAAAUUUAAUAAUGAUGGUAUAUUCUUUAAUUUCAUUGGAUAAAAAAAUAAAAAAUUUAUUAAAACUUUAAUUUAAUUGAUUAGCAUAUUUCUAAUUAUUUAAGAAUUGUUUUUUUAAUUUUCAUAGGAAAUUUAAAAAAAUAUUAAUAUUGUUUUUAUAAUGUCAGGAAAAAAUUUUCCGCUUCAUCAAUUUAUUUAUAGCGUUGAAAAUUUUAUUAAGAGUAUAUUCAGUAAAAUUAAUUAUUUUAAUAAUUAUAGAAAUUUAUGUUUCGUACUUUGAAGCCUUACACUUUAAGAGUUUUAUGCUACUUAACAUGAUAAAUAUAGUGUACAUAUAUAUAUAAAAAGUAAGUUUUGAUUAAAUCAAAAGCACUAAAUGAUAUGACAUAGAAAGCUGUUCCUAAAUUAGGCAUAAAUCAAAUAUUCAAGAUUGAGUGGUGAAGAGGAGCUAAGCACCAAUCUCCUCAAUUUGUACAGUGAUUACUUUUUUUUUUUUUUUUAAAUAAUAUUCAUUCCUUUUAUGUUUAGAUACGUGAUAUUAUUUUUCAUAUUAUUGAAAACCCUUUAUUAUAUUUUUUUAAUUGAAAUCACCAUCUUAUAGGUAUAUGCUUAUUUUUUAUAUUAUUCACGGAAAUGCAAUCUGUGAUAAUAAAUUUGGCAAUGUUUCAAUAUUAAUUAGGUGACUAAUUACAUAUUUGUCAAAUAAUUGAUAGAAUAAAUCACAUGUAAUCAUUUCAAUAUCCAAUGUAUGCAUAAAAUUUUUUUUUAUUAAAUCAGCCAUAGUUUUUUUUUUUUUUAAUUUAACAUUUCAUUAUGUUUUCGGAAUUUUAGUGGAUACAGACUAUUAAUUGAAAAUUAUAUUGAAAAAAUAUAUAAUAUAUUUAUUUUAUAUAUUAAAGUAUAUAUUUGAUUCUUAAUAUUAUUUUUACUUAUUAAUGUGUAUUAUAACUAAAUAAUGCAUUUUAUAUAUUAAAGUAUAUACUGAAUUCCUAAUAGAAUUCUUAUUUAGGAAUUCUCAUUUAUAAGUAAAUUUUAAAAACGGAUUGCACAUAUAUAGUUUUAUGUGUUGACUGUUGAGUACAAGUUGUGAUUAUAUUAUGACUUGUGUUAUGAAUUUGCGAAAUUCUAAUGUACUGGCAAUGACAAGACAAUUAAAAGUGUGGAUAUAAUCUUAUCUUAUAAAGAUUUAUAAUGGGAAUGUCUAUGAUUUAAAAGCUAUGUGAAGAAAAAAUGAGAGGUAGAUAUUAUUUUGUUGCAUUUGUUAUUAAAAAAUAACUUUCUUUUCAAAAAUAUUUUUCAAAUGACUUAUUUUUAUUGUUUGAUUGCAAUGUUGAAAAUUAAUUAAAAAUAUUAAAACUUUUGACUCAUAAGAAAAUAAUAAUAAUAAUAAUAAUAUAAAUUUCGUAUUUUAAAAUUUCUUUUUAAAUAUGAAAAUAAUGCAAAAAAAAAAAGAUAAAUUAUGAAAAUUGCCGAUGGUGGUCGGUAGUGAUAGUGGCGAGCAAUGAGUGAUGGUAAUGGCGAGCGGUGAAUAGUAAAUUAAAAAAUAUAGAUUUAUAAGGUUAUAAUAAGUUUGUCAAAAUUCAGAGAAUAUUUUACGCUUUUGAGAAUAUAAAGUUAUUUUCCUUAAAAAUUAUUUAAUUUCCUUUGAUCAAGAAAAUAUCUAUUGACUUAUUUUCCUGAACGCCCCCAAACAACAGAAAAUUAUGAAAAAUAUUUUUUUUGCAAGUUAUUUCAUAAAAAUAUGUUUAAAAAAAUUUUAGUUUUAUACUAGAGCGUGUAAUUACAUAAAAAAAAAAAAAAAAUCAUGUUCUUGAUCCUUUCUUGGUACCCCUAAAUAUGUUCUGUUGGAAUAGAAAGCUAGGAGCACUUAGCUCAGUUAAAAUUUUUUUUUUAAAAAAAAAAAGAAAUUUGAAAAUUUAAUGUUAAAUCUAACAUCUUAGAAUAUAGAAAUGGAAGCAAAUAUGCACAAGUUUCUUUCCUUACAAAAUAAUAAAAUAAAAUUUUUUUUGCAUGUUAUUGUUACAUUAAUUUCUUGAGGAAGAACAUAUUUAAUUAAAAAAAAAAAAAAAAAGACACACGGAAAGGAACAAAGAAACUUUUUGAAAAAAAAAAAAAAAGUUGAUAAAACUAAUGUUAUGUCCACAAGCAAGGUUGCAAAUUGAUACAACAGCGUUAGGCUAGGCAAGGCAAAUGCAUCAGCAACAUGGCCUCCAUGUGCAUGUGCCAAAGAUCUAACAUGAUAUUGAUAGUAGUGUCUGAUACCCCAAUACUUGAAUUCACCCUCGCAGUUUUAAUUUUUUACCACUCUAAAAACCUAUAUUCGGUGACGAGCUACAAAUUGAAGCUAAAAGAGUUAAAAAAUUUCCAAAGAUUAAGGAGGACAAAUAAAAAAAUAUUUCAAAAGGUAAAAUUAAAAACUUUAAUAAUUUUGAGAGACAAAUUCUAAAAGUAUUUAAUAUAUAAAAUGAAAAUUUAAACUAUUAUAAAGUUAAAAUAAUAAAAUCGAGAGAUAAAUUUAUAAAUUUAAGUGAGUGUCUUAUUAAGCAUCGUAGAAACUUUGGGUAUGUACAAAACAUUUAUUUAAGAAAGAAAAAAGAAAAAAAAUUAUAAAGGUAAUUAAAUAGAGAGUAGACUUAAGGAGAACGUGAGUGGGCCCAGUCGAUCGACCAAUGGAAAUGUCGUGGUCGCUGCGGACGUGGCGUCCUUAUCCUUAGAGUCAAGCUCACGUCAGCUUUCCCCACUAGACUAUUUCUUUCCCUAUAGGGCCUACAUAUAGACUUUCUUGCCCCUACCCAAAACCUCUAAGCUUUGAAAAUGAUGGUAUUGUUAUUAUUAUUAAUAAAUUAUUGUACUUUUUUUUGUCUAAAUUUAAUUUAAUUUCAUUUAUCGGUGGAAACUGAAAAGUGAACUAUUUUUCCAUGUACUAAAUAGAAAAAGACUGAAUAUAUACUCACCAUCUAAAUUUUAUAAUUUUAGUUUUGUGUUAUCUUAAAUUUUUUGAAUGGCUUAUUGUGAAUUUAAAUUUUGAUAAUACAAUAAUAAUUUUUAAAUUUUGAUUUGAUAUAUAUAAUUAAUGUAAUUUUUGAUAUUUUUUAAUUAUUUUAUAAAUAGUUAAUUGAUCUAAUUUUAUAAUUUCAGAUACUCAAUAAAUAGAUUUUGCUAGUUGAAAUGUUUAAUAAAUAUAAUUUUAUGAGUUGAAUUAUUUGAUAAGUUAAAGUAAAAAUGGAAAGUAUAAUAAAAUUUAAGUAACAAAGUUUAGAGAUCGAAUUUAUGAAUUCAGCUUUUAGAAUAGAGUGCCUUUUUUUAUGAAAACUAUCGUACUAAUAAUAUCAAAUUAAUUUCAUUGUAAUUUUACUUUUUUAAAAUACUAAAAGUUAAAAGUUAAUUUUUGUUGACAUUUUACCAAUUAAUUGGACAUUGAAAAUUACAUCAUAGUCAAAUAAAUAAUAUAAAAAAAUACCAUUCUUUUGUGGCCCUUUUUUUUUUUUUUUUAAUUAAUGUGGUUGAAGAUCAAAAAAUGCCAUUUCCAUAUAAAAAUCCUUCCAAAUCUUGUUUUCCAUGUCUGCAAAUUCUCUGUUUUCAUUUUUCUUUUCAAAAUAGAAAAUGAAACAAAAUACAUUUAGACUGCUAGACUAACUUGUUUGUCUAAAUAAGAAAAAGAGAACAAUUUUCUCUUAACCUUACAUUUUUUUAUUGGUAAAUUGAGAGCUCCAGCAUAUAUAUAUUUAGUACUAGUUGAUUUAAUAGGAUAAGAUAAUUAUUUAUUUCAAUGUCAUUAACCAUCUGUCCACCACUUAAUGAACACUAUCGUACCUAAAAACAGGAUUAUUUUUAUUUACUGAAGCUUUUGAUCCACACAAAAAAAAUAAAAAUAAUAAAUACUAGUAACUAGUUGACAUUAUUUUUAUUUUUAUCCAUGAUUAAAAAACUCAAAUUUGCAUCAGAAGCCAAUCAAUUUUUCUUUCCUAGUAACAGAAUUAUUCUAAUGUAAUUAGUUCUAUUAUGAGUAGCAGCAAUUUGGACCAUUCAAUUAAAUAAGCCAAUCAGAGAACAUAUUUAUAUAAGAACAAAUAUAGGCAAAUCUAUUGGAUUCCGAUUUGUGGGGCCAUCAAAAUCUAUUUUUAAUAGGAAUUUAUCGUCUAGUAAAAUCUGUUAUUUGCUAAAGGUUAGCAAUUUUAGUGGUUAUCAAUUAUACUAUUCACAUUUUAUUAAAUAUUAAAAGAAUUAAUAUUUCAUAAUUCGCUCCCUCAAACUAUAAAUAAUGAAAAUGAAGUAAUUUUUUUGACUCUAAUUAAAACACUAAAAAUUAUAUUAAACGCUCUUACAGGAUCUAAAAGAAGCAAACUAAUUACAACUAUAUCAAUUAUUCAUUAAUUCAUCAUAAUUUUUAUUUAAAAUUACAAAGCAGGCUCUUCAAAGUUUUUUACUUCACUGACAUGUAAAGAUAAAAGUAUCUACUUAGUACAGGUAGGUAUUAUUCGUUAAUGAGUGGCUAACUUUUAUUAUGUUGGUUUUCCUUUUCCCUGUUUUUUUUUUUUUUUUUUUUUUUUUUUUUUUAAUUACACCCAAUUGAGAGUUCUGAAUUUUGAUUUUUCAUUAUUGAAAGUUAAUCCUAAAAUUUUUUAAAAUUUUUUUCUCAAACUAAUUCAAAUAAAUUCGAUGAUCGAUGGGACUGAUUUAAAUUCUACCCACAUCUUCAAAUUCAAUCCCCAGUAAUUUUCUCUAAUAAAAAAAAUCCAAUUUUGUAAAGUGGUCCAUCCACUAAGAGAAGAAAUAUCCAACUCUAUGGUGUAAAUCAAGUCUGUCAAGAAACUGAAACUGAAGGUUAUUAGUCAUUACUAAUACUAUUACUUCGCCUACUUCCAAGAAAAUAAACUCCUCAGUAGCUAUAUACCUAAAUAUUAGAAAAUUUUCAAGAUCAAGAAAAUCUUGUUUCAGCUAUAUAUGGCUCAUCAAUAUAGUACAAGACUUGUCUUUCCAAUAGACGUAAAGAAGAAACCAUGGGAGCAAAAACUUCCCCUUCAUAACCGGUGGCAUCCUGACAUACCUCCGGUGGCAGAAGUGGCUGCAGGUGAGCUUUUUAGGAUUGAGAUGAUGGAUUUCAGUGGAGGUCGUAUUACACAGGAAAAUUCUGCAGAAGACAUCAAAUAUGCUGAACCUUCUAUUGUGAGUUCCGUUUGCUUUUUCUUUUCCCCCUUUUAGAAUCAUAUAUACAUUAUCCAAAAAUAAUUAAUAAUUAAAAAACGUAAUAUAUUUUUGUCCUUUAAUGGAAGGUAGUGCCUUAGGAAAAAUAGUGUCCUCUAAUUUUGCUGUUAGUCUAACUUUAGGACAAAAGAUAAUAAAAUUCAGUGGCCAAGUUAGUUCAUUUAUGGCUCCUUCAACGGCUAGAGUGGUGGUGCCUAUAGAUCUGAAGAAGAAGCCAUGGGAGCAAAAACUACCUCUUCACAACCGUUGGCAUCCAGAAAUUCCACCGGUUGCGGAGGUUAAAGAUGGUGAAUUCUUCAGAGUAGAAAUGGUAGAUUGGACUGGUGGUAUUAUUAAAGAUGAUGAUUCUGCCAUCGAUGUAAAAUCCAUAGACCUUUCAACUGUAAGUACAAAUAAUAUGAUCAAUAGCUAGCAAUUAAGGGUAGAACUCAAGGGAAAUAUAGAGUAAGUGAUCACCAUGUCAAAGAAUUAUGGUCUGUUUGGUAACUGUUGCAGGUUCAUUAUAUGAGUGGACCGAUUAGAGUUCUGGACAAGGAAGGAGUUCCGGCGAAACCAGGAGAUCUGCUCGUGGUAGAAAUAUGUAACUUGGGUCCUCUCCCUGGAGAUGAAUGGGGUUUUACAGCAACAUUUGAUAGAGAGAAUGGAGGUGGUUUUUUGACUGACCAUUUUCCUUGUGCAACCAAAGCUAUUUGGUAUUUUGAAGGAAUAUAUGCCUAUUCUCCUCAUAUACCAGGUAAAUGUGAAAUUGUAUUCUGAAAUCUCAACAAGAACUUCAAAUAUUAAACAGAACUUGGGCUCAUGACUAUAGAAUUGCACAAAAGAAUUAGUAUUUUAUAGUAUGGACUAAUCUUAAUGAUUCUGUAUGCAAAUAAGGGGUGAGAUUUCCAGGUUUGACUCACCCUGGAAUAAUUGGAACUGCACCAUCAAUGGAACUCCUAAAUAUAUGGAAUGAAAGAGAAAGAGAAGUCGAAGAAAAUGGGCUGCAAUCAUUCAAACUAUGCGAGGUUUUGCAUUCUAGACCGCUAGCAAAUCUACCAUCACCAAAAGGAUGCCAUCUUGGAAAGGUAUGCCAUUAAGCUAAAAGGACUUCAGAACCAUGGAACUGUUUCCAUAGCACAUCAAUCUUUCUGCAGAUUUUUGAAAAUAAAUAUAUAAAAUUGCCUACUGAUGCAGAUAGUGUAGCCAAUUGCCCUGACAACCAAAAUUUUUAUGCAGAUAGAUAGUAUAGCCAAUUGCCCUGGCAACCAAAAUUUUUGUUUAUGCCAAAAUUGAAACAUGCAAGUGCAUAGAAAAAUUCUGGUAAGAAACUUGGCAGGUAAUUCUAUGUGCAAGAAAGACAGCAAGGGUCUUUCGUGUUCCUGUUUGAGCUGCUAUUGAGAAUAAUAUGUCAGAAUCAUUAAAUAUAUUUUGUCAAAGGUGAAAUUGGUAUGGUUUUGUAAUAAAAACUCCAAAACAGUUAAAAACAAUGUAGAAUUAUCUUUUUGAACGUAUUGAGGGUGUUUCUUAUUGGAAAACUAGAAUUCAACCACAAAAAGAAGAAAUGUAAAUCUAACGGUUAAUGUAUCUUCUGCAGAUCCAAAAGGGCACUCCUGAAUGGGAAAAGAUUGCUAUGGAAGCAGCAAGGACAAUCCCAGGAAGAGAGAACGGAGGGAAUUGUGACAUAAAAAAUCUUAGCAGAGGCUCAAAAAUAUACCUUCCAGUAUUUGUAGAAGGAGCAAACUUUAGCACUGGUGAUAUGCACUUCUCUCAGGGCGAUGGCGAAAUCUCAUUCUGCGGCGCAAUCGAAAUGAGUGGAUUUCUAGAGCUCAAGUAGAUAUUUCAUAUAUUCACUUUGCCUAUUAAUUGCUUAAAUAUUUGCCCUACCAUUAAUCGUCCCUUACUGCAUCUGCCUCUUUGAUUCAACAUCUGUUUGGCAAUUGCAUUUGGGUUGCUUUUAGCAAACUGCAGUUGCAAUAUUGAAUACUUAGAUAAUCAUGUUUCGAAAAGCAAUUCCAAACAGAACCUCAAAUCUACAUUUAAAAGUUGUUGUUGUGGUAUCAGGUGUGAAAUCAUAAGAGGUGGAAUGAAGGAGUACCUUACACCGAUGGGGCCUACUCCUCUGCACGUAAACCCUAUCUUUGAGAUAGGACCAGUAGAGCCAAGAUUCUCAGAAUGGUUGGUAUUUGAAGGGAUCAGUGUCGAUGAGAGCGGAAGGCAGCAUUUUCUUGAUACAAGUGUUGCUUAUAAGCGUGCAGUACUAAAUGCGAUUGAUUACCUCUCCAAAUUUGGCUACUCCAAAGAACAGGUUUAUUAUCCAUAACCUAACCUCACAUUAAGCUAAUUCAUUCAUUCAUCAUUGAAUAAAGUCAAACCAGAAAAUUUUGUUGAAUACAUAAUAAGAGAAUAUGCUGGUGAUUAUCAGAUGUAUCUCCUGCUAUCAUGCUGUCCAUGCGAAGGAAGGAUUUCAGGAAUAGUUGAUUCUCCUAAUGCUGUGGCCACCCUCGCAAUCCCAACAGCUAUAUUUGAUCAGGUAGUUAAUUCUCGUUCAAUCUUUCAGAAAUCAACAGUUAUAAUUUCAUGUUUCACAAGUCAGAAAGUUUAACCAUGGCUCGUCAAGUAUCUUUACCAACAAAAUGAUACCUCAUAAUUAGGCAAACAUUAGCAAAAUAGUAUAUAUUUUGGAGCACCCUUGGGAGAAAGAACUAAAAUAAAAGUGAUCCGACUUCUUGUUCUCCACUCGUUUUUCAUUUCGUCGUUGGAUAAUUGAAUUGUGCAGGACAUUCGUCCAAAAAGCGACAAGGUGCCUGUCGGCCCUCGGCUAGUGAGGAAACCGGAUGUCCUAAAAUGCACUUAUGAUGGAAAAUUACCCAUCACGAAGAACCCCAGCGCCCCGUAAUAAGGAAUCAGCACCUUUUGACUCCAGCUUCUCAUACCACUUUCCACGCCAUAUCUAUGUACAUACAUAUGUGUGCACGUAUACAUAAAUGCCUAUUUUAUUAGCAGUUUAUGGUAAGAGGAAGAAUUUUGAACUGCAAAACCUUAUUAAUAACUUUAAAAAUUCAAGGGUUAUAAACUAUGCACUUCUAAAAGUAAAUGUCUGUCACAGGUAUCUUUGCAUUUACACAUAAUUUUUUGCAGAACUAAGUCUAAGAUAGAAUAGAUCAAGUGUGUUGUGCUCUCUAAAAAUAGUUGACCCUUCGCUUCAAAGAGACAAACAAAAGGAUGCAAUGAAUUACUUGUCCUAUUUGCCCAAGUACAUCACCUCUAAACACUGAAGUCAAAAAUUCUCUCUCCCAAUAAAAAGCCAUACUGGGAAAAGGCUAUGGCAAAAUAUAAUUAAGUCAAUAGUAUAUGGAGAGUGUUCGAUGGUGUUGGAGAGAUGUACUUCGCACACCAAACGCCCAGAGCCAAAGAUCCAAUUCAAUACUCAGUACCUGAGUAAACAAGUCAUGAGAUUAAAAUAAUAAAAAAUAAUAGGAGAGAGAUCAAGAAAUCAAGAAACUCUAGAAGAUAAGGAGAUUCUGUAGGUUGCCUGCUCGGUAACCCAGACUGAAAAGAAAAGUUUGAUUGAUGAUUUAUGUUAAUUCUAAAACAUGAUCUUUAAAUUCCUUUCAAAAAAAAAAAUAUAUAUCUUUAAAUGAACUAUUUAUACAAAGAUUAGUUAGGAGUGCCAUAAAAAAAGGUUGGAAAUUUGAAUGAAAGAAUAGUAACAGCGUUAACAUUAACAACCCUUCAACAGUAGCAAAGUACAUGGACUUUUCUUUAAUCAAAAACUGCAGCCCAACUGCGGCAAAUAAAAUUCUGCUGGUGUGUAGGAAAGAUAAAUUUAAUCAGGGAUUUCUAAUGAUAAGCCCUAGAGGGCAAGGUUACAAGAGGCAAAGAAAUUUAUCCAAAGGCUCAAACAUAGCUUAUGAGUCACAUAAUGAUUAUUCAUCAACAAAAACAUCAAUGAGGGAAAAAAAAAAGAUAAUAGCAACAUCCUUAUGACUGAUGCAUAAAAGAGAUUUUAUUCCCCAUAGCAACAGAUUAAUGUUGCAAGCUAAGCCAAUAUGUUUACGAGGAGAUUGACAGCAUAAAAGUUGCAAGCUAAAAACUGAGGCACAUUUUCAGAAAUUACAUUUUAGGUACAAAUUCAUUUCCACAAAGGAAGCAUGCAAACAUAUUUCAUUUUCCAACUAUUGAGUAGUGAUGGGAUUACAUUGAAACAAGAUUGGUAUUUCUUAUAAACUGAUAGAGAUAAAAAUAAAUGCACAAAUAUCUGCGCGAGUAAAAUAAGUUAGUUUAACAGUACCUGCUUUCCUGAUUUUACUCGAAGCAAGUCCCUCAUUUUCUCCACUGCAUAUAUGGAGCAUGCUCUUAAUUCAACUUCCUCCUCACUGCCUGAAGAUAAUUCACAAUCAGACUCAAUCAUUUUAAUGAGGUUUGAACUAUAUUUUAGCACACCAAGUUGCUGAAGCACCGCUGGAACAAUAUAGUCUGCAAAAAUAGUGAUAGAACCAAUGUCCUUAAAUUCUCCAUAUCCUCGGCCCUUGAAUGCACCAUACAAAUCAGCUGCAAAAAUCUGAGCUCUUUUAUACAAGAACACUUGGUGGCCUUUGUAAACUGAGUGGUCUCGGAAACCUAACCAUUCAAAUCACAUCAAGCAAAUAUUUCAAGAUCCUUGGAAAUAAAGGCUAUACCAUCCCUAUACAACUAAAGUCAAUAUGUACAAUUCUGACAAACUAAGAAUUCACAAUAAAUAACCAAAAGAAAAAAUAGAAAGAAAUACCAGGAAAGUGACUGGUAAUAGUGGCAACAAGCUUCGCAGCUGAUUUCUCACAGGAUUCCACAAGAUUUGAUGCUUUACCUCCAAAAUUCCUUUCCAGUUCAAAACCAACCUAUGUCACAAAUUAACAGAUAUCAAAUUACCUAUUUUUUGUCACAAGGUAGGUUAAGAAAUUGCGUAUCAUCUGAAUUAGUUCCGAACAGAUUAUGCAUUCGAACGACAAGAAUUUUAGGCAUUAAUCUCACAAGAAUGGGGAAAAAAAAAACAGGAAUCAAAACUUCAAAAACCUCAUGCAGUAGACGAGUUCUUUCAUCCUCCAGAGGAAGUGGUCUGGGCCAUUUUAACAACUCACGUAAUUCAGGACCUGGCAACAAGCAUUCAUCUUAUUACUAUUUCGGGGGAAAAAGGCAUAUCCUGGGCAUGCAUGCAUGGAAUUCCAGUGGUCAUGCAUACAGAGCAAAUAUAGUAACAUCUUUCAAGGAAAGAAGGAAUACUAAAUAGCUCAACUUAUCAGAAAGAAAUUGAAAGCAAGGAGAUGGAAGGUUAAUAUUGAUUAUUAGCUGAAACAUAAAUAUCUUCAUUCAGAAAUUACAACUCAAAGAAUGUAGAACCAAUGUAAGAAAGCAAAAAAAACAUGCUCACUGGCAAGCAUAAUUUUUCACACGGACAAUACAAUUAUAUUCUUAUUGAUGCCUAUUCUCUGCAGAAUUCUGAUUUUAGCAUCACAAUUGACAAAGAGAACAUUAUUAUCCUCUGACUGUCAGGCAAGAGUUAUACCAAUCGCCUGAAAACUAACAAGAGUAACUUACCUAGUCAUCUGGCAAACUAAUUUUUACUUUGGCAUCUCAAAAUCCACUCACUUGUUUUCUUUUCUUUUUAAUCAAAAAUGACUUCUAAUUUCAAAAAUAACUCUUGGUGAAUGUGAUCAAACCCGCCAAUAAAGAUGUAUAAGGACACAAAAUUGACAAAAAAAACAGCAUUACCUGUGUACUUUUGCAGACGAUCAGCAUCAAACACAGAUUUGUCAUUUUCCAAAGCUUCCUUUAGGCCUGAAGCCAAAUGAUCAUAGCUUAAAUCCUUAUCUGCAGAGAACAGGCAGCAAAUUAUCCCAAAAAAGAAAAAAAAAAUGCAGUUAGCAGAGCAAACUAAGUAGCAAUUGUAUUGGCGGCAAAUAGAAACUUGUGACACUACAUAACUGCAAAUUAUCAUUAGUAAAAUAUUAGAACAUUUUUUGUCAGAGCUUCAGACAGAAUAUUUCAAAUUGAUAGUUUGAUGGUAGAUUAAAGAUGUCCUGUUAUAUUAAAGUUUUCACAGGACGAAGGUUCAAGUCUAUCUAUCAAGGCAUUGGCAAUGGCCCUGCAAAAGGAUUUUCAUGCAUAAUGGCAGAGAAGAGUUUGUACAUGCAACCCAUGGUGAAACAGAGGAAACAUUUCAAUCAAAAGAAGAGAAAGGGGAAGAUAGACACCAAGCAAAAGGAUUUGGAAACACGACAACCAUAAGCUAGCAAGAAGCAAAACAUCAAUGAUAGGUCAUCAGAUAACAUUAGAUCCACAAGCACACAUAAGGACUUUAAGCUAAAAAUACAAAUAAACAAAGAGAAACAGGGUGAAGAGAACCAUACCAGGCCAGAAGCAAAAAUUCAAAGCAUCCAAAACAAACAAGUAUUGAACGGUGAGUGGUCCGUCAUCGAAGUAAUGAAUCCCUUCAAAGUCCCAUUCUAUUCUCGGAAUUUCCUGAAUGUUUUCCACCGCUUUUUCAAUCCCUACACCACCACAUUUUCAUGAAUAAACAAAUUACACCUCGCAGUAGCAGCGAGAACUUAAAAUGGCGGUAUUACCGUACCCGCAGAGUCGACGACGACAUGAGAAGAGCGGCUAGCCACCCAAGCAGCGCUUGCCCUAACCUGUUCCAUGGUUGCCGCAGUAAAUGUAGAUAUUUUGAACCCUAAAAUGAAAUUUUAUAUAGGAAUGAAAUAAUGGUGCGCGCGUGAGCCAAUGGUCUGCUAAUAAGUUUCCCGCUUUUGUUUGGCAGUUUUAGUUGCAUUAGUCUAGUUUGUGGCGUUUGGUGGUGGUUUUUUCCUGUCCCCGAUGAGUGGAGUGAGUGUCGGCCACGAAAUUUCCAUCAAGGGCUGCGUCUGUUUUUGUUUGGGUCUCACGUGGGAACAUGGAAUGGAAUGGAAGUUACUAGUAAUGGGCCUAAAAAGUAAAAAGCAGCCAAUAAGGCAAUGAGUUUCAACUUUCAACAAACUUGCCUUUUGAGUUUUGAUUUCUUCGUCAAUAAAGGUGUUGGAUAAAAUGUGAAAGACCAAAUAGUGUGAAGAAGACUUAUCUAUCGGAUGAGAGGCUGGGAUUCCCCUUUUCAAUAUUUUUGGAGAAUAAUAUUUUAAAAUUCAGUUGGCUUAAUAUUAUAAUUGAAAAAGGUUAUUAUUACCGACAUUUGUUUCGGCAUUGGACUAUUACCUGCCUAUUAAUCAUCAUUGUAUAUCUUCUAAAAAUAUAUAUAUAUAUAAUAGAUAUUUUUUUCUUGGUGAUAAAUUAUUGAGAGUAUAACUUUUAAAAAAAAUAAAUGAGUUUUGAGGAAAUAGUAUUUUGAGGGAUAAAAUUAGUUGUUUUGAUAGCAGUCAGCUAUUUAAGUAUAGUGGUAGAACUAAGGUGGCUAGUGGUGGUGGCUGCUUCCUAAUUUUUAAUUUUUUUAAAAUUUAUCUUGUAAUGAAAUAUAUUAAAUUUUACAUUUUACCUGUAAAAUAGUUGUUUUCAUUAUGGCCACCUCUAAAUAUUGAAAAUUUUUCAGCCUUUUUUUUUUUUGCCUUUUUUUUGUUAUGCUAUUGUUUGAGUAGUUUUUCAAAAUGUUAAAAGUUAAACGUCACAUGAGUUAACUUUUCACAAAACGCUACCCUAAUUUCUAAAAAUUAAUCUAAAUGUUAAAUUUAUUGAACAUAGAAACCACUAAAAAUUUACUUAAAAAACUGUUACCGAACACAAUUUUAAUAAAUAUUCUAUCCUAAAAUAAAAAAUAUUAAAUAAUUAAAUAGAAAUUUAAAUUUUAAAAAACAAUAAAAGUCGUGUUUUUCUGAAAGGUAAUAGUAGCACUUGUAUUGACCUGAAAGUAAAAUCGGAAGGACAGGACGCCCACUCUCAUAGAUCAUACGCAAUUAUAGACGAGUUGCAAGGAACUGUGUUGAACUUUUAGCAAAUGAAGUAGGACAUUCAGCAAAUUUCAUUUAUGUUAUAACAUUGCAUUUUUUUUAUCAUGUUAUAAAAAAAUUUAUAACAUUGCAUUGUUAUUACAUUGUAUUACAAUUCAACCUGGAUUCCUUUUUUUUUUUUUUUUUUAACAAAAUGUAUUGUAGACAUUGCUAAAAGCAUAGUACAACACAAAAAUUUCCAGCCCAUUAAAAACCAUAUUACAAAGUAAAUUACAAAAUUCAUUAAGUGCAUGAAAUAAAUCAAUUAAUUAAAAUAGUAAUAAAGAAAGGUAUUGCACAUGGGAAUUGUUUGAUCUUGGAUACCUCUCUAACCAUGACAAUUAAGGUUUUAUGUGCGAUUUAUAUUAAGAAAUUCAAUUUUAUUUUUUUAUUUUGUUUAAUUUUGGUUUGAAUAUGAAAUUAAUAUUUUAAAUCUAUAUGAUUCACUCAUAAUUUUAAUUCGUAGAAUAGUGGAUCAAAAUAAUAGAGUUCAUAAUUUGUUUUUUAGAAGAAUACCAGAAUAGAGUUCACAAUAUUAAUUUGUCGGUGAACUGAAGUUGUAAAAGUUUCAGAAACCAUGUAGGAAUCUACUAGGUGCCACGUUGAUUGGAUAAGAUUAGUUGUCUUUUGAGACGGCUUUAUUCAAAAAUGAUAGUGUAGAUUUUUUCUUCUUUUGAGGAGUAGUCCGAUGUAUGUACAAACAAUGUGCCAUUUUAUUAUGUCUGAGAGUAAUAUCAUUUUUCGAUUUAUUACUGUCUCCUUUUAUAGAGAUUUUCUCAUGGACCCAACCCAUAAUCUAUAUUCAUCAGAAGUUCUGAGUUUCUGUGCACACCACCACAACCCCCAGGGCAAAGAUUUCCUCUUGAGCACCCAUCAGAAUUAAUUGCAAUCCAGCCCAAAGUAGGAUAUUUCUUAAUAUUAAUAGUUUAACUUUUGUCGUAAAAUAUUAUCGGAAUAAAAACAUUAAAAAAAUUUAAGAACUCAACAUAAAAAAAUAUAAAAACUUAAACCAGACAAACAAUUGUUUAAAUGGAAGUCUCGAAAUAGAUUCUUUCAAAAACAUAGAUAUUAAUGUUAAAAAAAAUAAUAUUUAGUACAAUGUUUUAUAUAAUGCGAAACGUAUUCAUGCGAAUGUAUUUUACAAAUUGUUUAUUCUAGCACUGUUAGCAUUUUAAAAAAUUUAUUUUUCAGAAGUCAAUAAAAAAUAUAAACACAAUUUAGAAUAGUAGCUACAAAUUCAAUCCUACUUGAAUUGCCUACCUACGACUCAAAGCUCAAUUUCUGUUACCAAACAAUCAAAAGCCAAUUAGUUUAAUUUGGCAACUCUGAACAACUCGUUGUUCCACGUUUCCUAUCCGAAUUUUUUGUUGCAAUCCAGAAAACGAUGUCGUGUGCAGUACCCCAAAUCAAAGGCUCAAACUCAAAUGCGAUCAAACGGCAUCGUCUAUUUCAUUUUUCUUUUUAGCGAUUUAUUUUAAUUAGCAAAUGAAGGGGGAAAAGAAAAGAGGGGAAUAUUAAAAAGCAAAAAGAAAAAGGUAAAAAUAAAAAUGAGAUGGGGAAAGAAAGCGAUUCCGGUUCCGACUAACUUAAAACAAACACCUUUUUUCCCUAAUUUACGAUUUGAUGGCCAUAAGGCCUCUGCUACAGCAAUUCACAAUCUUCCAUCAUCGGCACCAUAACAACACAACUUUCUUCUCUCUCUUCUUUCCUUCUACAACUAAGUCUCCCUCUCCUUCCCUUCUCUUCUCUUCUCGAUCGCCAAUUACCUUAUUGCGUCGCUUCGCAUCUGGCGCCACUUUCUCUCACCAAAAGCAAGAGCAACAGCGCCAACCGCCUGUAGGCCUCCAUCGCUCGAAGUCGUUAGCUCCGUUGCCAGACACGCUGGCGCAGAAAAUCGGGAAAUCAAUUCGCCGCCCUGGCGCCCCUUCCAAAGCUAGGGUUUACGGUGAUGUUAAUGUUAUCCGGCCUAAGGAGUACUGGGAUUACGAGUCCCUUACUGUCCAAUGGGGGUAAUUGUCUUUGUUGUUUUUAGGAGUUGUUUUGCUCUCUUUUAUUUGAUUGCCUUGAAAAGUAAAGGGAAUUGACUUUAAUUUAGAUGGAUGGAUUAGUUGUUGCUGGGAAAUUUGGAUCAUUAUUUGCCAUGCGAUGAAACUUCACGCAUAUUUAAUUAACCAUUUCGGAUUUUGCUUCCAGUUGGGUAGUGUAUUUACGAUUGAGUAUACAAUUCCUUGGUUUUAUGCUUGGAAUAAUUUCAUAUUAACCACUCCAAGAAACUGUAUUAUGUGAUAGUAGUUCAUUUGUGUACCUGGCUCACUUCAGGUGGGAUUCAGGUUCAUGUUUCUGUUAAUUUGCUUUCUGUUUUCGUUCUAACGGUGACAACGCUAUGGAAGUGAUUAAGUUAAAUAGUUGAUAUAGGUGUGGUUGGGUUCAGGUCAUUGCUUUCUCUAGGGUAGGGUUUAAUAACAACAUUCAGCUCUUAUUAGUUUUAAGUUGCUUAUAAUGCUAACAUGUAUAUCGCUUAGAAGUCUUGAUUAAGCUGAAAUGAACUUAAAAUGAUAAGUCAAAAGUUUCUCCUUAAAUUUUGCACUAAAUACAAUCUCAAUAGGCUGUUCAAUAAAUUGCAUCAUUUAAAUUAUUCAGCACUUAAAAUUCAAGUGUUAUAUUUUCAGCACUAAUCUUCAUUUUCAACAAAUACCUUCUAAGUAAUCAGCUAUACAAAGCAUAUUAAUUGGAACUUUUGUCCCUUUUGCGCUCUGCGUUUCUUUCCCUUCUGUCUUUCAGUUACUUUGUCUUAUAGUUGUUUGAUGGUGUUUCCAGGGAGCAGGAUGAUUACGAGGUGGUGAGGAAGGUUGGACGGGGAAAAUAUAGUGAGGUUUUUGAGGGCGUCCAUUGCACUGAUAAUGAGAAAUGCAUCAUUAAGAUUCUCAAACCUGUGAAGAAGAAGAAGGUGAACCUUAGUAAUUUGCAUCAGUCAUUUUCUUGUAUUUUAUUUAUUUUUGAAUUUUUUAAACAAGUAAAUGAUUGCACCAGCUGGGAGUUGAGCUUGGCGCAGUGCUGUGACAGACUGCUGGUGCUAUUGUUUAUGUAGAUGGUUAUCUUAUUAAAUGAGUAUAAUUGUUGGAAGUCAAGAAUUGUGCAGUGUUGAAUUUUUCAUUCAUUUUUAUCCUUUUGGUUCCAUCUAUUCAUCUAUAGCAUUUGUUCUUAUCUUGAAGAAUAUAUAGACAAUAUAGAAGUUUGUUUGCCAUUUAUUUGGAGAUAUCAUAUAUUUAUAAGAGGGAAUUUUUCAUUGAAUACUUGACACAACAUUUACUAAAUUAUUGAAUAAAAAAUCUACUCUAUUAUACAUGUGCCACAAUAGCAAUUAGAGUUAAUUUAAAUUUUCAAAGGAAAGAGGGAUCAUUUCACAAUAAAUAAAAGGAAAAUUUAGGAAACAGUAAUUAUGAUCAAUUAAUUGGAAUUUAGGGUUUUCAGCUUUAUUUAACUUCACACGUGGAUUGGUUAGGUGUGGUUGAAAAUGAUACAUAUAAUACCACUUUGCUACUUGUUUUUUUUCAUUGCUGGUAAAUGGUUGUUGCUGUGAUUAUAAUACGGUCAAAUUCUGCCGUUAGUUUGUAGAUUAUUAUUAAUGGCUAGUUUGCAAACUAAGGGAAAAAAAAUGAAAAACAAAAUGAUGCUUAGAACCCAUAAUGCAGGUUGUUAGUAUGGGGUACUUCAAAUGUGCUUCUAGAUAUUUUCCUUAUAUGUGUUAAUGCAAUAUAGAAAAUAUAUAUUUUUUUGACCUUUUAUAUGUGUUUAUUUAUUUAUUGUGUGUGUGUGUGUGUGUGUGUGUGUGUGUGUGUGUGUGUGUGUGUGUGUGUGUGUGUGUGUGUGUGUGUGUGUGUGUGUGUGUGUGUGUGUGUGUGUGUGUGUGUGUGUGUGUGUGUGUGUGUGUGUGUGUGUGAGAGAGAGAGAGAGAGAGAGAGAGAGAGAGAGAGAGAGAGAGAGAGAGAGAGAGGGAGGGGGGGCGGAGCAAUUUAAACUAGCUAUUUUGAAAUUCUUCUGUUGAAAAGUUGGAUUCAUUUCUAUCCACGCUUUUUAGGUUUACCUUGGCUAUGUUUAUUGAACAUUGUGCCUAGAUUAUCCUUGCAGAUAUAGAUUUAGCACUUAGGCCAAAAAAAAAAAAAAAAAAAAAAAAACUCUUUAAGAUAAAUUCAAAUGUAGUGCGCAUAUCAAGUACUAUGAGAAACCAGUGGUUUACUUGGUUGAGUAAAAAGAACCAUUAAAAAGAUAGUGUGUGAAUACUUGUGCAUUUGGUUGCACUUUGUGAAUAUGUUUUUAGUGCAUGUCUUACUAGGUGUCUUACAAGUAAUGUUAUUUGCAGAAAUUUAGGCCAACUUUGUGUUGAACAUUAGUGUUUAUUUAAGCACAGGGAUGGAAAUUAGUUAGAUAUGAAUUCCAUUUUUUUGCUUGCCACGUGUCCAUAGCUCAGGUAUGUGGUGUCUCUAGAAGUGGGUAUGCUGCUUGCUUUUUCUUCUUUUUUUUAGGGAAGAUAAAAGUAUAUACACCUUUGCACAUUAUAUAUGCUAUGAAAAUUGAGAUUUUUAUUAUGUCAUAUGAGAAAUCAUGUAGUUGAAUGUAAACACAUUGAUUUGGUUAAACUUAGAAUUUUUUGACAAACAACUUUAUUUUUAUUAACUAUGAAAAGACCAUUAAUAUGAGGGGAAUUAUAAUAAUAUUUAUAUAAUGGUAGGAAUAAAAAGUAGAAAUUAUAUUUAGAAUAAGUAGGUGUAAUACCACAAUAACAACAUUUGAGCCUCAGUCCCUAACUAGUUGAGGCUAGUUAUAUGAGCCUUUUGUUUCUAUUUUGCUAUAUUCAAUAAAGUAUAGAAACAACAGAUCUUUUGAAACUUACCUCCAUAUGGUUCUAGGUCUACUUUUUCCUCUUUUAGCAUCCUUGACUAUCAACGUUUUACAUCUACAAACUGGAGCAUGAGGGUCUAGUAGGAUAUUACCAAAUAUCUUAGACAUCCUUCUCUUAUUUUAUCUCCAACUUGUGCUACUCGCACCUUUUGGUAGGCAUUCUUAUUUCUAAUUUCAUCCAAUCUUGUGUAACCACGUAUCCAUCUUGACAUCUUCAGCUUUGCAUCAUUCAUUCUAUGAACAUGUUGGGAAUUCAGGGCCCAAGAUGCAUUCCCGUGUAACUUCGCAGGUCUCACCGUCAUUUUAUAAAAUUUGUUUUUUACUUUGUUAGAUAUCUUUUAUACAUAGCACACCUGUAGCAUUUCUCUAUGUCAUCCAUCCUAUUUUAAUUUUAUGAGUUACAUCUUCAUCUAUCAUGUUACCUUCUGAAUACUGAGUCUGUGUGAGCUUAGCAAAGCAUAGAAAGUCCUAGGCUCAGGCAAAGGAUGAGAGUUGCAGUAGAUUGAUGGCCAAAACUAAAAAUAGUCAAACCCCGGUUUGAAUUCUUUGAAUUAGGUGUAAUAUAACAUAUAGGGAGAUUCUUUUUUUUUUCUUUUAAAUAUAUUUUGAGCUCUAAUUUUUUCGUGUUCUCUUAAAACUGUAUGGUUAUUGAUAUUUGCAUAUCAUCCUUGUUAAAUUGCUUUUUAAAAGCCUUUGUGUCACCCUUGCAUAUAUUCCCUAAAAUUUUUUAUCAAAAUAGUUAUCUGAAGGAAAGGCAAUGUACAAUUGUUUUUGUUUCAUUAAUAAUUUACUCUCACAAACACUAUGAAUCGAAUAAAAGAAUAAUGUAGUGCUAGAUUUAAGAACACUCCUAUCCAAUAAAAAAAAUAAUUAUCAAGAAUAAUUAUUUGAUUUGUAUUAUAAUGAGAUUUCGAACAGUUGACGUACAAAUGGAAAUUCACUCGUAUAUGUAAUGCAAAAGGAAAGGAAAAGGAUUUCUGCGUCAUCUUUAUUAAAAUGAAAUGCUAUAGCUAUAGCGAAAUUACCAAGAUGAACUAGCUAUAUAUUUAAUUAAAAUCUAAAUGUGUGUAGAGUAGAAAUUGAAAUUUUGAAGCAACUUGCCUCUCAAAGCUUUUGCCUAAAAUCUGUUUUAUCAUUAUUCCUAAACUCAUUAUGUCUCAUCAUUACUCCCUUUGUAAAGCUCAUCAGACCUAGAUGGCAAACAUUUCUGUUUACAACCUGCACAUGAGGAAAUUUGAUCAAUUAAAAUAAUAAAAUAUAUGCUGCAAACAUUAAGAAUCCUUGUAAGUUUUAACCAACCAAAAUUUAAUUAUGAAUUCAUGUCCUACAUCCAACUAAUAACAAUACAAAACAACAUUAGAAUUCCAAUUUGAAACCAACUAAUAACAAUACAAAACAACAUUAGAAUUCCAAUUUGAAAUAACAACUUAAGUUAACCCUAAAGGGACUUUUGGUAAUAGAAUUCUGAUGUCCUAAUUUCUUAAACAAAUAUUUUACGUCUUUUUACUUUUAUAUUUGUUAUAGAUAAAAUAUAUAGCAUUUAUUUGGGGUGACUUCAUGGCUGAGCUGCCCUGUUAACAUGGGUGACAUUAUUUGCUUUAUUUGGUGAAGAUAGGUGCAGUUAGCUAAGAUUGUAAAGCAUGCCAUCCCUGUUUGCUCAUCAAAUGGUGCAAAAUAAUAUGUUUAUUUUUAUGUUAGAAAGAAAUGCUUUUAAAAUGAAGUUAGAGCGUUAUUCAUUUUGUCAAAGAUCAAUAUACCAGAUGGGAUUCAGGAGAUUGUUCAAAUGAAUAUUUUUUAUUGGAUGCUUUUGGAGACUUUCAUGUCUUGAUUCCUGUACUUGUUUCCCUUAGUCCUUGUUGACUGGGCAAUCAUGCUAUAAAGCCAUGUUAUUUUGUAGGAUUUUGAAGUCAUCUGUCAGCAACUGUCAUCUGGAUUUUAAUCUUAUGAAAUUUGUUCCUGUAUUUUGGGCUAUAUAUUUACUUUCCAUUUUUUAGGAUCUGGAUAGACAUUUUCAAACAUCUGCUUCUGACGGCCAAUAUAUCAUCAUUAUAUUAGUAGACAUGCAGCUCUACAAUUCUUUGGUUAUGAUGUGAGCAUUGAUUCUAUAUGACUUUUUUUGUAGUCAUGGGUUUUAUCAGUUAUUUUCCUAAAGAGAGAUCUAAUUGCUUGCAACUGUAGAAGAUAAACUUUAUUUACUUUUUUCUGAAUGUUUUCAGCUUAUGUGCUUAUUUUGUAGGAUGACUUUGCUAGACUAAUUUUUAGUUAUAUUGAAUGCAGAUUAAGAGGGAGAUUAAAAUACUGCAGAAUCUCUGUGGCGGGCCAAAUAUUGUGAAGUUGCUUGAUAUCGUUAGAGAUCAGCAAUCAAAGACCCCAAGUCUUAUUUUUGAAUAUGUAAAUAAUACUGAGUUUAAAGUGCUUUACCCAACACUCUCAGACUAUGACAUUCGAUAUUACAUUUAUGAACUUCUGAAGGUAAGUACACAUUUUUCAUUUAUCUUACACUGGGAGCUGAAUGUAUGUUAUGUAUAUUAAUCUUUCAUAAAUGGUAUCUGAGGUAAAAAUGGAAGAUAGAUUGACAUUGACCUGCCUUGUCAUCUAAACUACUAUUUUUUUUCCCGUUCUUGAAGAUUGAAUUGAUUAUGUUCUAUGUAUAAUUUAAUUACUAGAUUUGAAUUUGAAAUUCUCAAAUGUUCUCCGGAGUAUAGGAGCCAACCCUUUUCUCUUUGUCCAGUGGUGGGGAAAAACUUGGUGAGGACACUGAGUCCCUUAAGAAUAGUUGUGUAACACCCUUAGGUUAAUCCCUUAUUGGAUGAGCACAUGAUGGAAGUGUGCAGAUUCUGUAGGCUAGCAAGAGGCCUUUUGGGUAGAGCGCUAAAGUCUCUACUUCAAAACAAAACCAUGAGAGGAUGACUAUCGAGGCUCCCAAAGAGGACAAUAUCUUGUGACGGGUUGGGAUGUAUCCAGAUCUGUACACAAGUGACAUGAAACUAUCUUGAGUGUGCAGUGGAAUUGACUGAGGUGUUAUAGAUCAAGGAUGAGAAUUCGAAGACAAAUGCUUGUGUUUUGCUGUUAGUGUUGUGUUUCUUUGAAUUUCUUCAAAUGAAUGUGCAGAAUGUGAAGUAAUGCUGUCCUGUUAAUAUGUUAUCAGGUUGGCCAAGUUGUUUUAUUGGUGCUUCCUGGAAUGUUAUAAUUGUUGGCAUAUUGUUAUUGGUUCGGCCUGCCUGUCCAAAUAUGGAGUGUGAUUUAGGAACUGUUGCAAUAAAGGUGUCAAGCUUCUUGGAUAUUUUCUGUUCAUCUUCUAGUUGAUAAGUUAGUAACUCUGUUAUUGCUGCACGCAUAUUGUUGUUGUUUAUAGUCAGCAUGGCGUCAUACUGAGUAUGCUUUAUGAACUGUUAGAAUAAAAAGCAUUGGGCUCCCGCAAAAUUUGGUUUUUAUUAUCUGGCUGAUAAGUUAGUGAUGCUGUUGGCUUUGGCUUGACCUUGUUUGUUAUUAUAGCUUCUCUGCUAAACAAUUCUUUUUGGCUGAAAUAUUCCUGUUUAUCUCAUGUUAUACCAAAAUGAAUUUGGCUUCUCAUGCCUUCAGAUAAUAUGCAUGUAGUGGGUCUAUAUCUACAUGAAACACUCACGCGCACCAUAUUUCCAUUGUAUUUUAUGCAUCAAUUAGCUGGAGUGAGUUUAAAGUUUCAAACUUACCUCAUUUUUUUCUUCUCUCAGUUUUUUACGUAUUUCAGGUUAUAUGUUUUAGUUUUCAAUUAGAGAAAUAUUACUUAGGAUGCUGAGGAAUCUAAUUGACAUUUUAACUAUGGUUAUCUACAAUUAGCACUUUUAACUUUGCUUUAGCAGACUUUCAGUGAUGAAAUUAAAAAAACAGAAAAAAUAAUAACAUGUGGGGCUUGCUCUCUGUGUGAAAUCUAUAUAUUUCACAUUGCACUAUGUGUUAGAAUCGUAUUGACUGCCCCUUUUCCCCUUCUCUUCCUCGUACUUGCUGCUGUUAAUCUGAAUAAGUUAGCCUUGCAAGUUAUGCUAAUGACAUUUUUGGACUUAUAAUUGUUUUUGUAUUUGGAGGGUUUCUUGUGUAAUGCUCCUUGUUGGGCACCAUGUUAUCUACAAUAUAUAUUCUUCAGAUUGUUGUGGGGCAUUACCUCAAAAUGGGGGAGUAAUAACACUCUCUUUUUCAGAAGUCUUGAAAAGCUUAACCGUUAUCAUGCAGUUCCUUGUUUGUAAAAGGCAGGAAAAAUGGUAUAAGUUUCUUCUUGACACAAUUUUCCUUACAGAAUGGAUGCAGCCUCAUGGUUACUACGGGAGAAAUUUUUAUGUGGCUUCUUUGGAUUGCCAAAAAAUUUUAGAUUUGGUCCAUAUAUAUGGAUUGCAAGCGCAUUUUGACAUUCUUUUAGAUUUUGGUGCUACAAUCUGAUUUAUUGCAACUUAAAGUGGAAAUUGAUUUAUCUUCUCUUCCUAUUGUUGGUUAAUGCUUAUUUACAUUGUUAAAUAUCUUAAUUACUUGUCACAUCCAUUUCACGCUUCUCUUUUUAAUGCUGCCAUACUUCUAGUUUCUAAGUUGUUAUGGAUCCUUUGUGUAGGCUUUGGAUUAUUGCCACUCACAAGGUAUUAUGCAUCGAGAUGUGAAGCCUCAUAAUGUCAUGAUUGAUCAUGAGCAGAGGAAGCUUCGCCUUAUAGAUUGGGGAUUAGCAGAGUUCUAUCAUCCUGGCAAAGAAUACAAUGUUCGUGUUGCUUCAAGGUUUGUUUCCAUCUGAUAGUUUAUAUUCAAGUUCCCAAUGUAAUGUUCCCAUAAUCUUUGGUCAUUCUCUCUCUCUCUCUCUCUCUCUCCGUUUUGUAAAGCUCUAUCCCCUCCUCAUAUAAUUUGUACCUUCAACAAAUAACCUGAUGGCCAUCAUAUAACAUAAUGCAAUGCAGCUGACAUUUUUUACCAAAGAUGACUUCUUGAUGGGUUAUUGCAUGUCAUUUAUUGAUGAAUCUCUAAUAACUUUGACUCAUCAGCUGUCAGUAUUAUUUGAUGCUGUAUGGAUCACACUUGCAUGCAAAUGCUUGUGUUUGCUACCAGCACUGCAGAAGCUUUUGCUUCCAGGGUCUUUUUAACCAUUUUUAUUUUUUAUUUUUGUCUAAUUUACAGAUACUUUAAAGGCCCUGAACUUCUUGUUGAUUUGCAAGACUAUGAUUAUUCGUUAGACUUGUGGAGUCUUGGUUGCAUGUUUGCUGGAAUGGUGAGUUCUUUCCUUCUCUACCAUCCAUGCAUCCCCUUCUUUUUCUUUCAUCUUUUAAAUGUGGAAAAGUGCUGUUUGCAUGAUUACUGAGUAUGGUUUGAAAUAAACUUCUCACUAUUUCAAAUUCUACUUCUACACUUCUACGGCGUGUUUGGAAGUGGAACCCAACUUAUUUUUCCAACAAGUCUUGGACUGAGUCCUGAUGAUGGACUUCUCAAUAGCUCCCUUGGAUGGCCUGCUAGAGAUUUUGCAUUUGAAUAAGGAUCUCAGAUUUAUGUUCUUGGUGAUGCAAUAGACAAGUUAUUCUUGCUCUUCUUGCAUACUCUUUCAUGGGUGACAUAACAUGGAGGAUUAAAAAAUGACAUAAUACCACUGAGCUUUGUGAUGCUUCAUCAUAGUUAUUAGGUGUGCCAAGUGCACAGGCUUUGGCGCCUUACACCCUGGAAGGCUGGUGACCUACAUCAGCCACACACCUUAACAGGUGCAUGCCCCAAGCAGCAUAAGGAGACCACAUGUUCUCCCCCCCCCCCCCACCCCCCGCCUCGUCCCCCCCCCCCCCCCCACCCCUUUAAGUUAUUUCAUCAAGGCAAUUCUUUACAAGAUUUUAGGGAUUAACUUACCAUAUUAUGUAUAUUAUGGACACACACUAAGUUAUUCACAUAAAUGAAUGUAUAUAAGAUUCCAACUCAUUACAAAGAAAUUCCCAUUAGACUUAACUAGUCUAUAAGAUUUGGUUGUUAUUAGCUGAGCUUCCUAUUCUUAUUGAUUUUGCUUUCUUAGGAUUUAAUUAAACUCUCAAUCCUUUUUUUCUCUUAACUAUUCUUAUGAUUUGAUGGACAUGAUUAACUUUCCUAUUUGUAGAUUUUCUAUAAUCUAAUUGCCAUGACCUAACUUUCCUUUUUCAGAUUUAGUUCAACUUCGCUACCUUAGGAUUAACUGUUCAAAGACAAAAUGUCUAUAUUUUUAGUUAUAUUUAGAUUUUAAAAAGACUACGCAACGAUUCUAAAUCUUUUACGUUAUUAAUGUGACCACAUGUGCACCUCAGUCUCAUUCUGAUGUGCACCUAUGCUUUGCGCCUUGUACUUAGGCUCUUGGACCCCUGCAAUAAUUUUGUGCCCUUUAGUUAUGCUUAUGAUUGUGUCUCUUGUUAUGCAGAUAUUCCGUAAGGAGCCGUUCUUCUAUGGGCAUGAUAAUUAUGAUCAACUGGUCAAAAUAGCCAAGGUAUGUCAACGCUUAUAUACUAUAAAAAAAAAAAAAAAAAUCAGUAUCAAAUGUUUAAACAAGAUACUAUAAUUUUCAUUUUUUUAUAUGACAGGUACUUGGAACAGAUGAAUUAAAUGCUUAUUUGAACAAGUACCGCAUAGAGUUGGAUCCACAUCUUGCAGCUUUAGUUGGCAGGUAGAUGAUACAUCUUGAUACAUCUACCAGUUUUCCAUCUUCUUCAGAUAUCUGGUUGUCCUAAUUGUGAUCAUUUUCUUCUUGGCGUAGGCAUAGCCGGAAACCAUGGACAAAGUUUAUUAAUGUUGACAAUCAGCAUUUGGCAGUUCCUGAGGUAGAAACUUACAGUAUGUAAAUAGUUUAUAUUGCAUUAUACUUGUUUUAAAUGCUUGCGCUAUUUCUUUUUUGAAGGCUGUUGACUUCCUUGACAAGUUGCUGCGAUAUGAUCACCAAGAAAGGCCUACUGCAAAAGAAGCAAUGGUAAGUCCCUUUUCCAUUCACAUUUAUCUAUAGAAACACUUGACUAAUUGAUCCAAACUUGCAAAUUCGUAGUAUUUGACUAUUUAAUUUCUGCUGUUAUUAUCAUUCCUAUUGUUAGACUCGAGAUUUAAUACUAUGCCUCCAUAAUUGAUGACUCACCGACAUGAAACAUCAAGAUAAGAGCCUGUUUGACCUGAAGCAGCAACUACAGGACCAAACAGGCCUCAAAUAGUCUGAUCUAUUAAGUGAACUGCAUCUGCAUAUGAAUAUGUUGGGCUGAAUUUUGCCCUUUGUUUUUUUGGGUUUAUUGGAAUGUGUUUUCGCAGGCUAGCAGAUGCUGCCCCUAAUUAUUUGUUUGCUUGUUUCAUCAAAUCACAUGACUGUUUUUAAGUUAAUGACCUUGUUGUUAUGCAGGCCCAUCCUUACUUCUAUCCAAUUAGAAAUGCAGAAAGCAGCAGGGUUCGUACGUAGUUUCAAAUUUCAGGAUGCUGUCAAGAUACGGCAUCUUUCUUCUGCGCUUUGUCAGGGUCUUUUCCCUUGUAAUCUGACUGAACUUAUAAUGUGUUGGUGAGCUUGCAUCCAGGAAACCUUUUCAUGUUUCUGUUGUUACAAACUGAGUCAAUUUUUUAAUGCUCAAUUUAGAUUUCUAAAUCUAGAUAUUUCUGGCUUUAUUAUUGUAAGUUCACUAUGUGCUCCUUUAUUCAGGAAACGAAUUUUAUUACAGUUUUUAUUCUGCAGUUUCUUGAUUUAGGGGAAGUAUCCAUAUUUUGUUAUAUAUCUUUGUUUGUAAACAUUUAUAUUCUUUUUAUGAGUAUUCAAAAGGGGGAUCCAAACCUGAAUUCACCACUAGUUUCUUUUUCUGGAUCUGGGAGUCUGAAAAUAACACCUUGAACCCAGUGGAUUAUUUUCUUUUAAAUGAAAAAAAAAUCCAAUUAUUCGAGCCUUGUCCCCCUAUUAUAGUUUUUUUAUUCAAUGAAAAUUUCGUUAGUAAAAUUUAAAGGAAAAUUUUCGUUAGUAGUUUUCAUUUCAAAUAAACUGCAAUUUAGUUGGAGGCUAUUGGAUUUGAUUUUCUUUUCGUACUAGAAUUGUAAAUACAUUUGAAAUUGAGAUUUACUAAACAAUUUACCCAACAGUAAAUGAGCAAUUUUUAAUUUAAUAACUUGUAUUUUUAGAGAAGUUUUAGAACCUUCAUUAAUAAAUAAUAAUAUUAAUAAAAUUAUUAUAUUUAAUUAGUGAUAAAUGUACAUUUAAUCUGAAUUUCUCUUUUUAAUACUAAAAAAAUAUUAAUAUAAAAAACAUAAUAAUAAGAAAUAUUUUAAUUUAGUGUGGUUAUAUUUAAUUUUUAGAAUGAAAACCCUUUUUAUUAUUAUUAUUUUUUCAUUCUAACUCCAACAAUAAAGAUUUUUAAGUGAAUCACAAAAUUGAGAUUUGUCCCGGAUAAGGGGGUAAUUAUCUAUUUUAUUAUACAGUAAGUUACGAUGACAACUGGAAUCCACUAAUGGGCAAGUAACUGCUAGGGUUACAUGCCUGAAUAGGCGUUUUGAUAGACAUACUGUUACUGUUACUGUAUUACCUUGCUUGGUUGCAAGUUGCAAGAAAUCAGGAACGGUUGUGGGAGCAAAGUCAGAAAGUCAGAGAGUCAAUUCAAAAGCUGCUGCUAACGUUAUCCCGUGGAAGAAGUUUUACUGACUACUAUUUGCUAACUUAUCCAUUUUAAAUAUAAAAAAUAAAUGUAACGGAAAAUUCAUGAAUACGUAAAAUGCAUUUAUUAUUUGAAAAAUCAGACACAAACUAUUAUGGAAUAGAGGCACACAGGCCAAAGGGUAUCCCUCCAUAAAUUGUGCAGUCUCCGUUGUAUUAUUUUUUGCAAACGUUAUAUUGUCCUAAUUUAGCCAUUCAGUUUUUCAACAUUUAAUGCCAUCAGUUUCUUUCUUUCUUUCUUUCUUUUGGGUAUGCAUCAUUUUUUUUUUCUUGCUAAUGCAAUACUACAAAAAUGGGUUUGGUUCCUUCUGUAGCUUUGCCCUUAUCUUAUCCCUUUAACUUUUGACAAUGGGGUUGGAUUUCUCUGCUUGCUUGCUGAUAUUCUUCUUUCAAUAGUUUCAAAUAUCAGUUUUUUUUUUUUUUUUUUUUUUUUCAAGGCUUUAUUUUAUUAUAAUUUCCAUAUAUGGAUUUCUGAUUUUCUAAUAUAAAUUUUAUUGGGAAUUAGUUCCUAACAUAACAAAAGCAAUUAUCUUGUUGUAAAGUGCUUAUGUCAUUUUGGUACUAAUUAUAGAAUAUUUUGUUGAUAAUUUGCGUUAAGCUUCCAAUCUUUGUGGUUCUUAUUCUUUCUAAAUUUUGGGUACUACUUUUAAUUUCUUCUUCUUUUUUUAGUUAAAUUCUGCAGUUCUUUUUUGUGGAAUAGAAUAAUUUUCUUUUAAAGUUCAGAGCCUUUAGGUCAAUUGACAGAAAGAGAGAGAGAGAGGUUGACUCUUACAAGCCAAAGAUCAUCCCUAUCUCCACCCACCAUGACAUAGAAAGUGAAACGACAAGGUCUCUACCCAAAUUUAGUUGAGGGACAAGUGUCCUUAACUUUCUUAGUUGAUGGGAAGUGUGUUAUGGAAAAUAAAACCCACUUUUCCCUUCCCUUCCCUUCCCUUGGCCUUGACCUUACCUCCAUUGUCCUCUUUUGACUGUAUAAGGCAAUUAUUAGGUUUAUCUAAAAGAGUAUCAAAUGGAAAAUUCAAUGCACCAAAAACUAUCCAAAUAGCAACUUCCUGUUUGUUAGGGACGCUACUAAUCCAAAAUAGGAUAUCCCAUGCUACUGGAUCUUCGUCAUUUAAAUUUAAAUGGUUCACUCUAAUUUUUAAUUGAUUUUAUCUUUUUUCAUAUAGAGUUAAAUUAAUAAUUGAUUUUAUCUUUUUUCAUAUAGAGUUAAAUUAAUAAUGAGAGAGUUCACUUUUCUUAGAAAAAAGUAAAAAUCUAUACUUAAAUUCAUUGAAAAAAACUCAAAAAUACACAAAUUUAUAUGAAAACAUUUUUAGAAUAUGUUCGAUAAAAUGAAAUAUUUUAACAGCCGUUAGCAGUCAACUAUUUAACUAUUGUUUCAUUUUUAUAAAAAAUAAAAUUUAUAAUCUGUAUUCUCGUAACUCUAAAUAUUUUCUAUAAAUGCUAUAGCCCAUCAAUGUUAAUUGUUUAUAAAAAAAAAAAAAAAAAAAUCAUUUUUAAGUAUUAGAUUUUCAAUUCCAAAUCUACUCAAACCAAACAAGAAAGAAAGAAAGAAGGAAAAUGGGGUCAGAAAUAAAUCCAUGUGAGCCAACUAAUUCUAGUACCAAAACAGGAGUUUUGUUUGUAGGAGAGCCCUUAAUUAGGAGGGCAGAAGUGGGAAGGUAAUAAUUGGCGACAAGAUUAGGACAUAAGAAUCCCAACCUCAUAUUGGUUAACAGACAUUUGGCAUAUAAUCCGAUACUUGGGACCGGCAAUGAAGGGACCAUACACACCUCAUUUACAUAUUUAUCAUCUGUUACUUCUAAUGUCUUAGUCUUAUUGAAAUGAUGGAAAAUACACGACUAAAAAGGUUACAUUUUUAUAAAUAUCACUAAAGCAACAAUUGUCCAUCGCAACCAGACAAAAUACGAUUUUCUUUUUUUUUUUUUUUAAAGUUAUAAAACAUAAACAGAAAAAUAUCAUUUACCAUUUAUUUUCUAUCUUGUUGGAAAAUUUUUUUUAUUUGCCACGUUUUUCUGUAUUUGAGUUGAGACGAUAUCCAAAUAAAAUCUCUCCAAUUCGUUUAGAAAUAUAGUUUAUUUUUCUUAUUUAAUCAAUUUAUAGUAAGAAUAAUUAAUUAUUCAGUAAAUUUUUUUUAAAAAUAUUAUAUUUUUUACUUGAUAGUGACUUUUUAUUGUAUAAAAAUAAAUUUUAAAUAUUGAAGUAUUAAUUGAAAUUAUGAAAUUGUAAUUUCUAAUAUAGCUGCAAUCUUGUGUUUUUAUUAUUGUUCGAAUAAAGUAGUAUCCAAUUAUAAAUGAAAAAAAAAAAAAAGGAUAAAAAUUCAAUCUUUUCCUUUCUUUCUUUCCAUAAAUACAUUAUAUUAUAUUUUAUAAAAUGAAUUCAUUCCUUAUAGAUCCAAAAAAGACAUGUGGGUCCAUCUGAAUUGAGACAAAUAGAAAAGGCAAAUUUUAAGGCCUUAUAGUACUUUCAUUUCAUUCACAUAGACAACUCCUUCCAAAGGUGAAAAUGCAUUACAAUCGCAGCCCCACCACCACCACCACCACCACCAUCAUCAUGCAUGUCAUGAUCAUGCAUAUCAUGAUGCUCCAUACAUACAUUCAUGAUGAUUAAAUGAUGGGAUGGGCUGAUGGGACUAGUGAGAAACGUGGCAAAACAAGGGAUUUGGGGAUCCAGAAUUUGUUCUUAUCCUCUCUCUCUUCUCCUCUCCAUUAGGCCCAUACUUUCCGUUUCAGUACUUUUUGUCUUCUUUUACUACCCCUACCUUCAACAACUACGUACCAUAUUAUUUAUUAUUAUUAGGUUAACAUUUAUAUUAAUUGUCUUAUAUAAACGUGUCAUUUUAAGGGCAUUCUCUUGCUUUAUUUCUAUUUUCAGUGUAAUUAUUAUUUUUUUUUUUUCAUUUACAUCAGAUGAUGCUUCAAUCCACUUAUGCAGCUGAAGCGAUUCAGCUCUCAAUCGAGUGGAAUCAUUUUAAUAAUAAAAAACUUAAAUUUUUAUAUCUCGAAAGUUUAUUUUCGUCCAUCCUUAAUGGGUAUUUCUUAUUUGUAUAUAUAUCUGAUAAAACAAGAUUAAAAAGGUUGCAUUGAGAUAGACAAUAACAAUAGAAAGUUCAUUUGCAGAGGAGAGCCAGAAGUAGAAAUUUUAGGGUUGUGACGUUUCAAUGAAAAGAUGGUUAUAAGUGGAGUCAAUCUGAUAUUCGGGUAACGGGGAAAAAAAAGUAAUUGGAAAAAUUAGAAAGGUGUAAAAUAUAUAUAUUAAUAAUUAAUAAAUAUUGGGUAUAUAGAAAUAAAACAAAAUAAUGUUUGUUUACUGUAUAGUUAGAAAAGCAGAAAUAGGAAAAAGGAUUUAGUUUAUGUGUGAGCCAUAAUAUUUGUGUUAGAAAGUGCAAGAGCUUUUCAAAGUGGAUGAAAUCCGAAUCAAAUGAGAAUGCACACUCAAUCUUUUACUUGCCAUAUAUAUAAAUAUAUAGCAGUUUCCAUCAGAUUUCUCUUUUUCAAAAGCAAAUCCAACUUAAUUAAUCAAAUAUUCAAAUAUCCCUCAUUUCAACUUCUAGCUAACGAAAUAUAAAUAUUCUUCCUAAGCAAAUAUUCAUAUACAGGGUCUUUUACUCCUACCAUUUUGCUUUUUAGUGAUCUUUUUAAUGUUCUCAAGUCACACAUUUUUAAAGUUUGGUCACACUCGCAUGUGUAUAUAUAUAUAUAUCUUGUAAUAUCUUAGAUGCUUUGACAUAAGCUCGCAUAUAUUCGCAACAAUCUCAAGAUCAUACAUGUAAUCUUCUCAUAAAUAUGAAUGGCUACAUAAAUUUUUCUAAAAUAAAGAAAUAUAAUAGUUGCUGGAAAUAUUUUAUUUUUAAUGAGAAAAUCCGUCACAAAUAAUGACUAUUUAAGUUUUAUAAACCGCUAAAUAGAUGUAGAUACCUAAAUUUAAACAAGCACAUAUAGAACUUGUCCAGAACUUAUAUAUGGCAUUAUUGGAUAUUCACUUCAAAUCAUGUAGAAACACUUCAAUUUAUGUUGAAAUCUUAUACACACUUGCAUGCUCGACAUAAAUGUCUGCAAAUCAUUUUUGUUAAGAUGCAUGUUGAUAUAUUGUUGAAUUUUCAAAUUAGGGUGACAGACAGAAGAGAAAGUCCAAUGCAUGAAAUCCACGUGGCAAGGCAAGGGUGACAGUGAUGAAAGGUCAUAUCAAGAGGGGGGGUAUUGGUGUGUGUGAGAUAUAUAGAAAAGAGAGAGAGAGAGAGAGAGAGAGAGAGAGAGAGUGGGUUGAUGAGACAUGGUACAUAAUCUUGGGGAUUCGGCCGAGCCAGGGCCGCACCCUUGUGUCGGUCUCUUACCAUACAAUUUUUGCUCCUAACCAAAACAAACUUCUAACAUUUCUCAGAAAUGACAACUCCUUCUCUUCUCUUAUUUCAAAUACAGUCCCCCUUAACCCUUCCAAUACUCCUCUCUCUAUACCAAAUCAACCCUAUCUCUGCCUUUUGUCUCCCUUUCCCUCCCAACAUUCUAAGCUGUACUCCAUUUUUAUUAUUUUUAACCCUAUUUUUGUCUCUACAUAUAUACACUUUUCAUUUGGGUCCUUUACUAAUUAAUCAAUUCUAUUUCAUGUGAUCAGUACAUAAUUAUGACUUAAUCAGUAGGUCAGUAAUAGGUCAUUAUGUACCCAACAAGGUCAAACAUAACUUCUCCAUUCCUUAUAUCACCGACCCUCAAAACAUGUUAAGGGUCUCUGGUUUUAUUUGGUUUUAAUUUAAAAUAUUUGCAAGUUUUCAUUAAUUAAUUGAUUUAUAGUAUAUUGGACCAUAUAUUAUAUUAGGUUUUUCCUUGGUCAAGUUGAAGGUCUCGAUGCCAAAAAGACUUACAAAAAAGAACUAGUUAAUCAUAGAGUAUUAAACUAAUAAUCCCACAUAAUCACUUCUCGAGCCACUCCAUCCAUUCAUAUCAUCUUUAAUCUUAAUUUGGUGCAUGGGUCAACUUUGUUCAGAGGUAGCUAAAUCUAAAACCUAAUUAAUUAAUUUCCAACUGUGUCUUAACUAAACAAAUCAAUAUUAAUUUAAUUAACCCAUUAAUAAAACCUUUGUUAUUUCCUCGUUCCCAUAUAUAUGUCAAGAAAAUUUGGAAUAUGAUUGUGAACAUGUUGGCUACUUGUUAAUUAAUCUACUCUUUCAUGUUGGCUUCCCACUAGCUAGUAUAAUUAUAAGCUAGGGUUUCAAAAAUUUUGGACAAGCAUAUUUCAUUUCACUACUUUCUAAACAAUAUUAUUUUAACUUCAAUAUUAUUACUUCUAUUCCAUAAUACUUGUCAUAUUUGAAAUUUCACGUCCCUUAAAAAAAUCAUUAAAUUCUUGAGUAAAUUGAUUAUAUUACCCUUAAUUUAAUAUUAAUUCUCUAAAAAACCAUUAAAUUGAGUAAUAAUUAUUACUCCUUUAAACCAUAAAUGUGACAAGAAUUUUGGAUCAAACUAUUUUUUCAAAUAUGAUAAGUAUUAUAGAACGGAGGUAGUAGUUCAAUUGACAAAAUGAGUAUAUGCCUUCUAUAUAUUGUUUAACAAUAGUGAAAGAUCCAUGAUUAAUUUUUUAGGGUCAAUAUAUAAUUUUGAAAGAAAAUAGUUAACAAAUGAGGUUAAUUUGGAAAAAUAUAUAAAUGUAUACCAAGAAUUUAGAAGAAAAAAAAAAAGAGUAAAUUGAACUCCCUUUUCAUAGCUAGUUCCGCCAUUAUUUACCAACACCCAAUUUAUAAAUUUAGAAUUUCAGAAAUAAUUCUUAAAUUCAUAAACUAAACUUGAUUUAAGAUCCAUAAAUACUUAAAUUGAGUUGAAAAAUAUUAUGACUAUUCAAAUAUAUGAAUAAAAAACUUGCAUGUGAUAUCCAAAAAGAGACAUAACCUAAUAUGAGGACUUGAUGUUUCACAUUGACCCUACAAUUAAUGUUGGUUGUGGUAUGCAACCAUUAUUCAUUAGUAAAUGAUGGGAUAAAAAGGGUUUUGUACGGAUCAAAAGCUAAGAUUAUUAUUAAAAAAGGAAACAAGAUCCUCUCCAGUUAUCAUUUUCCAGGCAAUUGUCUCGGUUUUUGUCUCUUAACUGUUUGUGUUAUUUAUAAUCUAGGUGAAACAUGUUAACACCUUAACAUGAUACUUUGUUGAAGACCCAUGUUCUUCUUCUUGACCCUAACAAUAUAUAUUUAUAUCAGCCUUCGUGUCUCUUGUUAUAGCCUUAUAUAGUCUUGGUACUAGGGUUUCUGUUCACAGUGGUCCUAGCUUAGCUGCUCUGCUCUGCUCUGGAAAACCCUAAUAUUAUUAUUAUUAUUAUUAUUUAUUUUUUCUUUCGGUUCUUUAUAAUCAGGUGAUUGGUGACUAGAGAACAAAUCAUGUAGAAAUAAUUAUUGGCUUCUUGAUCCAUUAUCGACAUAAACAAUGAUUAUAUAGUUGUAAAAAGCUUGAUGAAAAGAAAGAAAAUGGAGCAAAAGCCAAAAACUUCGCAAGAAUCAUGUGUUUAUAUUAUGAUUAUCGUGCCCGUCACCUCUUUCGUAAUCAAAAAUCAAAUCGCCAUGUUUUGAUCCGAUCAAAGUUUUUAAACAAGUUGAUUUAAGUCUUAAAUAAGUAAGAUUCUGAACCAUAUCUUGAACAGGAGAGACACUCUAGCGAUUAGCUCAUCUCCAAGAAUUAUUCUUUUGCUUAAUUAAUUAAGUUUAAUUAAAUUAAUCAUAGUCAAUUUCUUUUUUCCUUUUUACCUAGUAGUGUAGAAAUCAACACCAAAUAUCUCUCCCUCGAUUCCAAAAUCGAAUGGGCUCUCGACAAUCAUCUAGACAGAGAAUAAUAUGAUCGGUAAAAUGUUGGUGGAUUCUUAGUAUCAUCUUAAGCAACUAACCAUUUGUUUAAUGAUGAUUAAGAAUCUCAUCACUCACUUGUUCAUUUCAUUGUCGCUUUAUUCUAAUCCCAAUAUUUUUCCAAUAACCAAGUAUAUUAUAAUGAAUUAUGCUUCUCCAAUUUUGACCCGCAAUCAUUUAUUUCUACAAUAUACAUUCAGAUGCUUCUAUUAAUUUCUUUUUAUUUUCUAGUUCACCAAAUUAAUUUCAGUCUAAUUAACUAAUCAACAUACAUAUUCAUUUCUAAUUGUCAUUAUCAUCCUCAUCAUCGCCAUCAUUGUUGAUAAUAUAUUACUAUCAUAAUCAACUUAACAUAUUGCUCUUUUCAUGUAAUAGUUAAUGUUGUUGUCACCAUCACAUGAUAAUCAUUUUCAUUUCCCCCCAUUUUUUUUUGGCUUCUAACUUUUGUUAUAAUGCAUGCAUAAGACAUUGAAAAUAUCUUAUUGCUUGUAUUGGAAGUAACUAGUCAUAAAGUAUCCAAAUUCAUCUAUAUUAUUAUAUAUUUCAAAUAGCAAAGAAUGAUUAGUUGUUUUUGCUUUAAUGGAAAUAAUAGUUUGCAGAAGACCAAAAGUUGAGAUUUGAAAGAUAAACGAAGAAAAUAUUUUUCUGGGAUUUAAUCGUUGUCUAGUUCACUGAAAAUAAUUGUCUCGUAAAUUAAAAAAGAAAAAGAAAAAGAAAAAUAUUUGCUUUACCCAAACAUGGUGAGCUUAUACUAAGCAAUUAAAACUGACCCAUACAGUUUAUUUUAAAUUAUUUAGUGGCAGAAGAAUUUUUUUUCUGCUCUAAAGACUGUUUUUGCUAAUAUCUUAUAUUUUAAUUAUUUUUCCUGAGCUAUGCAAAUUGCUGCAAUUAGUCAAUGGAAUAUAGUUCACUAGUUAAUUAGCUUAUCUGUUUAAGGGCACCAUCAAAUGCUUCUAUGGAUUAAUCUUUUUGUUGAUUCUGAUUAAAAGGACCAACUUUUUAAUAUAAAUAGCUUAAAUUCUCUCUAUUACUAUAAAGUGGAGGUCUCGAGUUUGAAUAUUUAUUCCAUUAUAUAGGUAGAAUAUUUAAAAUUCAUUAGUGACUAAUUACUAUUAUUCAUGUAAUCCAAGCCCAUCACCAUCGAGCUUUUAGUAAUUAACUUUUUUUCUUUUUUUGUUAAUCUUUAGAUCUUAAUUAAUCUUAAGAAUAUCACAUUUGAGCCAAAGUGUGUAUAGUGGUGCAAGAAAUGAUUAAGUAUAUAGCAAAAUUAAUCUUUUAAGUAGUGUCAUUAGUGUAUUAAACUUUCCCAAAGUUUUGACAAAUGCAAAAACAAAGAUUGAUGUAGUACUACAAUUCAAUAAUAUUAUAUAAUAUGAUAAGACAUUUCAAGUAAUUUAAUUAAAAUUAAUGUAAGGUAGCAAAUAGAAAAUAGAAACCCUAUUGCUAUCUAUCAUUUGGGUAUUUUUCAUAUCACAUUAAAAAAUUGCUUUGAAACAAUAAUUGCAAGUUUCCCAUUGGUUAGGAGUCAAAAUCAAACCAAUAAUCACAUAACAACCUCCAAGGACUAACCCACAUAGAUUUUUCAAUGGGUCCCUUCAAUUGUAGGGUCCCAUUUGCCCUGCUUGUUAUCCAUAUAUGUAUUAACAUAGCUAUCUAAUAUUAUUUAUAAUUGAUAUAAUAUUAGUUAGAUGCUCUCUUCAACGUAUAAAAAAUGUUUUUCUAUAUAUAUAAAAUAUAUAAUAAAUAGUACAUACAAGCUUAAUAAAAAAUUAUGAAUAUGCCAAAUUCAGGAAACUUCAAUGCUGACUUCUCAUGACUUGUCAUUGGCUUCAUUUCAUUUUCCUUCUAUCUAAAUAUAUCUCCAAUAAUUCUAGGUCGUUUUCAAAAAGCUUAUAAUAUUGUUAAAAAAAUUAAUUAUUUUUUAUAGGUUUUAUUAUUUAUUAGUAAUAAUAAGCACCAUCAUAACAGCCGAAUGCAAAUGAUAGAAUAAUUAAAUGUUAGCAAUAAAUUCCAAUUCUUGAUGGUGCAUUCACUUCCUUAAUUAAAAAUUGGAUCAUAAUUAAUUAAUUAAUUAAUUAUUUCAAAUAAUUAGUAGAUUGAGGUACAUGAGUAGCGAUUGGGGUGCGUUAGAAUUGUGGCUGGAUAAAAAGAUUGAAGAUGGGAUGGGAUGGGAUGGGAUGGGAAGAGUCAGAAAAUACUGGGAGUUGAUCAUGGCCGUUGAAAAUAAGAUAUGUGGAUAAUUAUAAUGAUUAUGAUCAUCAUGAUUGAUUGGGAGGACGAUGGUGAUCGGAAAAUCCACGCGAUUAGUGGGAGUUGUCAUAUUCAGUAAGCCAAUAAAACAAAAUAUAUUUCACUGUUUGAUUCUGUAACUAUAAGCCAAAACUACAGCAAAAAAAGAAAAGCAAAAUUUUCACUGUUUGAUUAAAAAGACAAAAGCCACUUUUGCAGCCCACUCAUAAAUCAACGGUCGAAAUUCCUGGGAAUUGCCCACGUAUCCUUCCCCCACUCUAAUCCUUUUCCGUUAUUUUACUUUUCAUUUUCUAAAAUUUUCAAAAUAUCAUUUUCUCUUGUUUUUUCUUUUAAAUAUAUAUCAUCAUAAAAGAUUUUUAAAUUUUUUAGAAAUAAACAUUUAUUUUUUUAAUAAAUAUUGAUUAACGAAUAUACUGAAAUUAAAAUUUUUUAUCUUUUAUCUAUUAAAUAUCAUCUAUUAUAAUGAAAAAUAUUUACCUACAUUUGAUAUAUCGUCCAUAUAUAUAUAUAUAUGAUAGGAAAACUAACUAACCAUAAUCUAAUGCCAAAAAAAAAAAAAAAAAACCAUAAUCUUAAAUUAAAUUGGUGGUUACUAUUUUUUUUUUAUAAUAUUAUGGUUUUAAUAUGGAAGGAAAUUCUUAGAAGAAGUGUGAACUGUUGAAGUUUGUAUAAUAUUUUAGUCCUUGUAUAACAUGAAGCAAACAUCUAUUUAUUCAGUAGAUUAUUUGCUAAAUAAUUUUUUUUUUUUUCCUUAAACUAAAUUAUAGCGAUAUGCGGCAUGCAUGAUGAUGAUAAGAAAGGCAAGGAGGGGGGUCCACAGUAGAGAUGGUAAGUAUUAUGAUGAUCAUGCGAUAAUGAUGAUAGAUGGAUAGAUCAUAGAUGGUAGAAAGAAAAGAAAUAGAAGAAGAAGAGAGUAGUAAAAAGGUAAUGAUUACAGAUGGGGUCAUGAUGGGAACGCCUCCUUCCCUUACAAUUAAAUGAUUAUUAUCAAGAAGAGAGAGAAAACUCACACCCACAAUACUGCGCAGCCAUAGCCGCCAUUUGCUCUUCUGGCCCCUUUUUAUUUUUUCCUUUUUUUAUAAAAAAUUUUUUCUGUGAUGAGUAAUAUUUCACUACCCAUUACCACUAUACAUUCAAAUAAAUAAUAAUCAUUUAUUAUUAGUAAUUUAGUAUUGUUACCAGUACUAGACAAACAGAAGAGAUAUUACAAGGGACAGGGACUUCAAAAAGCACUCAAUUAAAUAAAAUAUUUUUUUUUUUUAAAAAAAAAGGGGAGGUGAGGGGAUUCCAGAGAGAGAAGAAUAGAAAAUUUUCAAAAUAAAGAAAUAAAAAAAGGCCAGAAAUCAGGUAUUUAUAGGCACCGUAAGAUCACUUGUUUCUCUGCGAUGAUGAACUGCUCACUGCCUAAUUGAAAGCAAGCGAAAACAAGAAGACGACGAAGCUAAACGACCUAACGUUUAAUCCCUUUCUUUCUUUAUUUUUAUUUUUAUAGAGUUCAUUAUUAUCUCCUCCUCCUCGUCAUCCUCCUAUAUGAGUUGUUACUGGUUAUAAUACAUAUGAGCUGUUCAAAAUCAUCCAUUUUCUUCUUUUUUUUUUUUUGUUUUAAUUUUUUUCUCUACCUGGUUUCGCUGAUUUCGAAGUCCUAGCCUAAUAGCCCCUCUCUGCUCCUUCUCUUUCCUUGCUUAUUUCACACGUUAUUAUUAUCCUUCCGCUUCUUUUCUUCGUCUUCUUCUUCCUUCCUGUGUCUAUAUAUACAGAACCCUCAGUUGUAGGUUUUAGCGUUUGUAUUGAUUCAUUUCCUUCUCGUUUUGUGGGAUUAAUUAUGGGAGAAGAGAGAAUGAUAGUUGUGAGAGAGUUUGAUCCGAGCAGAGAUGGAGUUGGUGUUGAAGAAGUAGAGAGAAGAUGUGAAGUUGGUCCCAGCGGCGAACUCUCUCUCUUCACCGACCUCUUGGGUGACCCAAUUUGCAGGGUCCGCCACUCCCCUGCUUUUCUCAUGCUGGUACAUACCCACAAUACCUUACUUGUCCAUUCACUCUUUUGUCCUUUUCUUCUCGUUCAAAACACCAAAAAUAACAACUGAAUCCAAAAUUAUACUCAUUCAUUUCCGUUAUUUAACUUAAAAACUUUUUUAUAUUAAUUAAGGUAAAUUUAUAUGCUUCUUAUGAUGAUUGAAUUUUACUUAAUUUGAUUUUUCUUUUUUUGAAAAAAAUGGAAAGGUACUAAUUAUUAUACAUGUUACUACUAAUUGUUCUGUUGGCUUGUGUUAAAUGUUUUAAUUAAUUAAUUAAUUAAUUUUUAAAAUCUAAUAGUUGUGUGUUUAAUUUGUAUUGAGUAGGUGGCUGAGUUGGGUGAGGAGAUAGUGGGGAUGAUAAGGGGUUGCAUCAAAACCGUUACAUGUGGCAAAAAGCUUUCUAGACAUGUCAAAAACACCACUAACAAUGAACCUCCAAAACCUCUCCCCGUUUACACCAAAGUCGCUUACAUUUUAGGCCUUCGUGUCUCUCCUUCUCAUCGGUAUGUAUCUCUUUUUUUUUUUUUUAAAUAUUUGUACUUUUAACUUUUAAAAUUAAUUAAUUAAUUAUACUCACUGCAUUAAUCAUUGUUUUUAAAUUUGCCCUUUUGUAUUCUACGUUUCUUUUUUUUUUUUUUUUUUUUUUUUUUUUUUUUUUUUAUUUUUUUUUGCCCUUUUGUAUUCUACGUUUCUUUUUUUUUUUUUUUUUUUUUUUUUUUUUUUUUUUUUUUUUUUUUUUUUUGCUAAUGAUAUGAAAGUGAAAUGAUUGAGAGAGAGAGGGGUGAUUUGCAUGCAAGACGACGCCGUUUGUAUUCAAAAAUCUGCAUUUCCAAUUCCACUUGGAAACAACAUAACAAAUUAGACACACACAUUAAAUAAUUAGCGGUAAACGGCAUUGCGUACCAAUUAUUAGGCGUUAAUGAGGUUUACUUUAUUAUAUCAGAAUGUGCUCAAACAUCUCUUUGGUUUUUAGUGUAAUAAUGUUUGAUUUUAGUAAUUGUUUUUUUGUUCGUUUGUUUUCAUCUACAGGAGGAUGGGAAUAGGCUUAAAACUGGUGCGUAUGAUAGAGGAAUGGUUUCGCGAAAACGGCGCUGAAUAUUCCUACUUGGCAACUGAAAACGACAACCAAGCUUCCGUUAAACUUUUCACCGACAAAUGCGGUUACUCCAAGUUCCGUACUCCCUCCAUCCUGGUCAACCCGGUCUUCGCUCACCGACUCCCCGUUUCUCACAAAGUUACAGUGUUUCAGCUCCCUACUGACGACGCUGAAUUGCUUUACCGACGUCGUUUCUCCACCACCGAGUUCUUCCCCCGCGACAUUGACUCCGUUCUUAAUAACAAACUCAGCUUGGGCACUUUCUUGGCAGUGCCGCGUGGCACCUAUGAAUCCGAUUCCUGGCCCGGAUUCGAUAAGUUUCUCUCCGACCCGCCUGAGUCCUGGGCUGUUCUCAGUGUUUGGAACUGUAAGGAUGUGUUUAGACUGGAAGUUCGCGGUGCGUCGCGCGUGAAGCGGACGUUUGCCAAAACGACGAGAAUGGUUGAUAAAGCGUUACCUUUUUUAAGGUUACCAUCGGUGCCCGAGGUGUUCAGGCCUUUUGGAUUACAUUUUUUAUAUGGUUUGGGAGGUGAAGGGCCACGCGCGGUGAAAAUGGUAAAGGCACUGUGUGCCUACGCGCAUAACUUGGCUAAGGAGCUCGGAUGUGAGGUGGUGGCAACGGAGGUAUCGAGUCGCGAACCGCUUAAGUUAGGAAUUCCACACUGGAAAAUGCUAUCGUGCGCUGAGGAUUUAUGGUGCAUAAAAAGACUUGGGGAAGACUACAGUGACGGGUCAGUGGGUGACUGGACUAAAUCACCUCCAGGAGUGUCCAUUUUUGUUGACCCUAGAGAGUUCUAAGCAUGUUGUAGUCGUCACAUCAAAAGAAGAAAAUCUGAAGACUUUAGGUAAAUUAGUAGGAUAACAGCAACACAAGGAGGGGUGCCUUUUUCUUUUAUAAUUAAAAUUUUGUUAACUUGCUUUAUUUUUAUUUUCCUUAAUUAUUAUUAUAGUUUUAGCUGUGUUUUUAAUGUGGAGGAUUUUGGGGGAUAGAAAAAGAGAGAAUGAGAAGAUAUGUAGAAAGGAAUAUCCUCACUUUUGUUUAAUUAUUAUUAUCAAGUCUUUGUAAAUGGAUGUGGCUUUUUUGAUCCUCUUGCAGCCAAACGCAGCCUUAAUUUUCAUGUGGGGAUGGGUUAUCUUUUAUUUAUAAUUAAUUUAUAUUAUAUUCAAAACUCUUGUUAAUAAACUCCAAAAUAUAUAAAGUUGUUUGGUUAACAGAUGGAUCGGGUCCGUAGUAUCUUUCUAAUUAAGGUCAGUAGACAUCAAACCAACAAAGUCUGCCCUUUGGCAUGAUAAGGGCAAAGGUGUCCUAAAAAGAAAUAUAAUAGUCAUAAUGGACAACUUUUUUCGUGGAUGAACUAACUUUGGUGGGGAUUCUUUUAUAAAUGAAAAUAAUAUCAUAUGUGAAAUUGACUGGAGAUUUGGCUUUUUGCUGCUGUGGAUUUACAAUUUGAGUGAGAAAAGAUAGUACGAGUGGGUAUAAGGUAUUUUUGGUUCCUCGUCUUUACCUUUCUUUCUAUAUGGACCUUUUUUUUUCUUUCUUUUUCUUUUUCUUCGGUGGGUUUUAGUUUGGAACUAUGGACCAUACGACAGGUUCUUAGAUUGUGACGUUUUUGGAACCAAAUUAAAAUAUUAUUAUAUAUAAAUAUAUAUAAACCAAACCCAUUCUUUUUGACUGCCAAGCUUUUAUCUUUACCUCCUUUUUCUUCUCUUCAAUUUUCUUUUCCUUGGCUAUCCGUUUGUGCAUUUUCCCAGAAAACAACAUGCAGUCCUAGAUAUUUUUAAAGAAUAAACUUUUGCUAUUUUAAUUUAACUGGCAAUUGCAAUUAAAAUAAUAUAAUUAAUCUUAAUCCAAAAUAUUGAAAUUAGGUUAAGCAUGCAAAAAAUGGUAUUGGAGUGGAUGAAUCACGGGAUUUUGGAGAGAUGAUCAUAUGGAUCAUGAGACAAGUCAAGAAAUUAAUGUGAGGGUUAAAAGAUUUAGUACAUCACAAAGUCAAUACCUUAGACCUGGAUUGUGGUAACUGUUUUUUUUUUGUCUGAUCGUUUCAGAUUUUGCUUUAACGGUUCCUUAAUCAUUUUUCAUAAUCCUUCAUUAAACAUCGGGAGCUUCCAUGAAAUACUACGUAUACCUUUUCAUUAAUAAAAUCUUUUACUAAUAAACUACAUUUCAAUAAUUAAUCGGUAUAUAUCUCUUGAUUUUAAAUAACACGUUUAUAAAUAGAUAAAGUAUUUAUUCUAGUCAAUCAAAUAUGAUCUGAUUGAUUUUCUCAUUAUCUUUAAAAAUAUGAAGAGCAAUAUAUCUUGGGUUAGGAUACUUUCUAGUUAUAUAAUUAUUAAUUACACAUAUUAUAAUGAUCCAUAAUAUUAUAUAUGACUGCUAUUGAAACUAUUAUUUAUUUUAUUUUUGGUUUUAUAUGAUACAAAACAAGUUAGAUACCUUCAAGGUCAUUUUUAAUCAAUACAAUGAAGACUCAAAAUAGUCUCUUUUUUUAAAAAAAAAAAAAAAAUUUAAAAAUAUAGUUUUUUAAUUAGCAAUUAUAAAAAAAGAUUGAACAUUCCUACUAUUUUGUACUUCUUAUCUAUUGAAAAAUAUGAAUUCUUAACUAUUGUGAUUGAAUUCGUCAGGGAUUGCAUAAACAAGCACAUAAUGUUAAAGGGUCACACAUGUGCAAGUGCCAAAUUAACUAAAAUUUUGUAUAUUUAUUCCUCUAUAUGAUAAUGAAGUUACAUUGAACCAUUAGCUUUCCUAGAAGUUUCCCUAAAUUCUAAUCAAAUUUUCUAUAAUUAUAGAUUCACAAAGCUUUUUUUUUAAUCAUCUAUUAUAACAAUAGUGCAUGGAAUGGAAUCAAGAACAAAUAAAAAAUAUAUAUAUAUUGGACAAGAUUUGAUUGCUCUAAUCAGGCUUAGUAGGUAUGAAAGUGUUAGGUAAGUUUUGACUGGUCCUGUCUCUAUCAUUACAUGUUAAACAAACCUUAAUGUGGUUAACAAAUGUGUUUAUAAGGUGUAGAAAGAACUAACUCUUUUAUUAGUAGUUCAAUUAUUAUGUUUCUAGGGAAAAGAUAUGUCCCUUAAAAGAGGGUUUCACUAUCAAAUCAUAAAGGUUAAGAAAAUAAGUUUACGAAUUUUUAAAUGGGUAAUGUCACUUAAACACGUAUUUUCUUUUGUUUUUUACCUAAAAAAAUUAAAACCAAGAGUGGUUUAGGUAAAAGGAUCAAUUUGCAAAUUAUAGUCAAACAUAGUCCGCUCUAUGCUUCCUUUAUCUUUACUUGCAAUUACAAUUCCUUUGCAACAAUAUAAUUCAGGGGGGUAAAUAGCAUUUGCGAGAUUGAUCACUAUAUAUUAGGUUAAUCUUUCGUAAUACAAAUUCUCUCGGACCAAUCCCUGUUUUCGAAAGCGAGAGAGAAUUAAUAAAGUUUAGUAUGGACCAUUAAAACGAAAAGGGAGUAAAUGAACGGAGUGGCCCAUCUUUUUAACACUUCCUUUAGGUCUAACAAAGUUACUUUCUUCCUUUCACCGGCGGAAUUAAUUGGCGAAUUAGUGAAGAUAAAAAUGGUGUUAGGUAAUUGGGUAAUGGUUGAUUGUCUCAAGAAGAGAAAAAUAUAUGUUUAUAAAAGCAUCUUUUGAGGCAACCCACUUGCACUUCCUUUCUAUCUUGAGAAUUUGAAUAAAGAUUUGAGAACUAUAGAAAAUUAGAAAAAAGAAAGGAAGGAAAAAACCCACAUUGACUAAUGCUGUUUGUACCAAAUCAUAUAACUUCUUUGAUACUUUUGAGUUUAAGAUAAAUUGGUUUUUUAAUUAAAACUUUAAUUUUUUGUUAAAUAGAUAUAUGAGUUUGGGAUAUUUUUAUAAUUUGCCAAUGAAUCAAAGUCAAGGUCAAUUUAGAUAUGUGUUAGGUCCAUCCUUCAACAAGAAGAUAUCAUUUCAACAAUUUGUUGUAGCCUUUUACACCACUUGUAUAUCCAACAAGAUUUUUAUAAUACACAUAUGUUACUCAUUGGAUUUCAUAAAUGAAAAGGAAAAAAAAUAUAUAAUAAUGUAGCGUCUUGCUUAUUCUCUAAGAUUCUCGUAGAACAUUAACUUUAAAUAUAGAAAAUAGAAAAGAGUUAUAUAGAAGUAGCUGUUGAGACCGCGACGAAGUCAUGAUUUAAAAUUUAGGGAACAAAUCCUUAAACAAGAUCAUGUCUUGCACCGAAACUCAAAUUAUUGAAAUUUAUAUUCCUAUUUGCCUCGUGUGUUUUCUAUUUAAUAAAAAAAAAAAAAAGGAAAAUUAUUUGAAGCUUUGGGUGAAAACAACAUCUCAAUAAUGUAAACCAAGCAAAUACAGAAAGAUGGUGUUGAUAGUUGUAAAGCAAAGGCCCAAUAAUUAUUUAUAGGUACAGAACUACAGAUACUAUUUGUAAAGCUCUGAUGGGCCAAAGUGGACCUUACCCAUUCUGUCCUAUUUGUUCAAAGCUGAAAUUGCUGUAGUACAUUAGUACUACUUCAAGCCAAUCAGUAUAUUCUAGUGAUUGAAAUACUUAAAUCACACCUUCAAUUUUCCUUUUUUUUUUUUUUAAAAAAAAAAAAAAAAAAAAAAAAAAAAAGGGAAAAACACCUUCAAUUUCAGACCGCUAGUUUAACCAUUAGGUCACUUGAUCUUCUCUAGAAUUUGGAAGGGAAGAAAAUUCUUAAAAUAGGAUUUUAUUCCUUAUUUGGUUCACAAAAAAAAUUAUUUUUUUCCCUUUCUUUUUAUUUGAAAACUUGAAUUUUUAUAUUAAGGUAAUAUUUAUUUUUAAGUUAUAAUCAAUAAAUUUAAAAUAGAACUUUGUUGAUUUAGGUACCUAUUUUUAUUCUCAUUUUAUUUAUACGGUGAACCAAACAUGUUGUAUUCUAUGUAUACAAACAAGUUUCAGAGUCAGGUGCACGAUGUGCAAACCACAGACUGAACUGAUCCAAUCUAACUCAGUUCGAUUCAAUUAGUCUGAAUAUCAGGAAGUUCAAUUGCUAUUUUAAAAGAUUGUUCAACUCAAUUUUAGAGAAAUUAAUAGAUUAAGUUUAAGACCAAACUAAUAUGAUCAAAGCCGAUCAAAUCGAGCUAGUUUCAAUCAUUUUCAUUAUGAUAUCAAUUCUCGUUUGAUUCGAUUCAAUUUUACUUCUAAAAUUUUUGCCUUUUUCACCGAAUCAAUUGUUUGCUUAAACCUAUGUGCACAGUUUCACUCUACACAAACCAAUCAAAGCUAAUUUUUUGUUCAAAUGAAGAUUUUUUAUUUAUUUAUUAUUCAUAAGAAAAAAAAAGGAGAAAAUAAUAACAUUUUUUAAAGUACCUCUCCUUAGUUGGUUUAACGUACAAGUCGGAUGCAGCCUGCACAUGCAUGUCUUAUCCCAAAUUUAAAGGAGGUUGCAAUUGGGUCACUCUGUAACGGGCUUCAACCCCAAACCUUAACAGCAGGAUCUACCUAUUCCCUAAUUCACUUAAUUUCCAAGAGACAACUUGUAAGUUAUCAUUUCCCAAUUAGAAGCGUUAGCAGAUUCUCCAAUAACUUCUGCAAUUUUCGGUCAUAAUAUAUAGUAGGGUAAUUGAAUAUUUAUACAUUUUAGUGAUGCAAGAAUGUUCAUAUAUCACAGUAACAGACUAACAACGUUCCUUCUAAUGCAAUGAAAGAGAGGAACUUUAAAGUUAUGGUGUCAUUAAUUAUCAGAGAUCAUCUGUUAAAACAGUAAGGGGCCAACAAUGAAUAUUAGGUAACCUCCAUAUCCCUAUGCAGAACCAAAAAUUGAUAGUCAACAUAUCAUAGAAAUCAGUCCCCCUUUCCCUUCCACAUGCCUCCUUUGCAUGAAAAUUCCGGCCAGCCGGAUAAAAUCAGCGGGUUCUAAUUUCCUAAUGGUUAAUUAAGUGAUUAAUUUUACAAGCCAACAUAUAUAUUAUCUAGUUCUGCUUAUCAGUUCAUCUGUCACUAAGAUACAGAAUGCCUCAUGCUUCUUGAAGGGGUGGAUUUUGUUUCCUCCGCAGCUGCAGAACCAGGACUUUCUGAUGUAUCAGAGCUACUAAUCUCACCAUUUCUUUCUUUGCUUGACCAAAGCUUUGAGAAAAUCUUUGACAUGACUACACCUUUCGUUUUAUUUGCAGCAGCUUUUUCAGGAUCAGUUUUAGCAUUAUCAUUCAGAUUUCUAUCGCUCCCGCCUAAUUGUAAAGUAGCAAGUUCUCCUUUCAAUGCCUUGAUAUCUUCAGCUGUUGGCACAGCAUCCCAAUCCUCUUCUGUGUUGGUUGUAGUAGACCUUGAGCUUCCAUGAGACCCACCAGGAAGUAAUGCCCUUAUGGACCCAGGUAGUUCUGGUGUGCUGUUGCCAGCAGAUGUUGCUUGCCUAACCUGUUCAAAGAAUAGGACUUGCACCACCACUCGCAAUGGAAGCCGCUCAUUUUGCACCACAUGCAUGCAGGCUUCUACUGAUAACUUCCUGCAAUCCAUCAACCUGCAUAUUCUUUUUCUCUCACUCUUGCUGAUCCCUGGGUGUUCCUGCACCAAAAGUAACAGUCAGUAGUUAUAGGCCAAUUUUACACUGUUUGUGAGCUGGGUCUCUACUUAUACAUAAAUUACAUGUGUAAUCUUGACUGCACAACUGAUACAUACAGCUUUUAGAAGUAUAUAGGUUUGGGCUAUUUUCUGGUGUUGUUUCUUGAGAUCCAAGUGGCGUGUACAAAUAGAAACAAGUCAAUCUAACUGAUGUUUGUCUUCCAAGUGUAGAAUGAUGCUAUUUCAAUGAUAGGGACAAGUCUCAGAAAAAAAAAAGGCUACACAUAGAGUGGAGCAAACAGCAUCUCUAGCUUUGUCCCUAACCUAAAAAGAACAUUUAAACGUAAUCAUAAAAUAUAUUGAAAUUACGAGCACAAAACAUAUCUAGACAUGAUCUUUGCAAAUCUUUUUCUUUCUAGGACAUUUUUGAAAUUUUUGAACAUGUGGGACAAAUCUAGGGUCUUGGGAAACCUUCAACAUCAAGAUUUUCUCUAGUAAAUUUUAUUCAUAUUUCCAAAAAUAUACAUAUUGAGCCCCCAUAUUUAAAUCCAGCUCUGUUUUAACUUUGGCCCCCCAAUAUCUGAACAAUGUUUCCGCCCACAAAUCUCUCGUGUUAGUAGAGUACAGAAAUGAAUUGGUUUCUUAAUAUAAUCAUAGCUUGAUAGAAAAGGUUGCCAUUAACAGAUAAGGAGGAAGGAACUUGAUAAUGGACACAAUUGUUUUAUGUAUAUGUAUGUUAUGUACAUGUCCAUGCACGUAGAGUAGAAUAAGAAACUUAUUAAGGCAUGCUUAAAGCACAGAAUAACUUAAAAAGAUUCAGCAACAUACCUUGAGAUACAUAUCAAUGGCACGAUAAAGUCCAUCAUGCGAUGGUCUUGGGAAACUUGAUACCAUUUCUGCAAGAUUGACAAAAUUUGAAAGAGGUAGGUUGGGGUCUCGAGCAAUUUCAGCUAGGUAGCCCUCAACCAACUUUGCUACCUGCAUUUUGGAAGCAUCUGAUCCCAACUUUGGACUUCUGCUCUCCUGGAACUCGUUUUCCAUUGGAAAAUCAGUCUGAGAAGCCUUUUCAUGUGUAACAAACUCCUCAACUAAGCUUUGCAUGACAUCAAUGUUAUACAUUGUAGUUUCCCCAUCUGGUGCUCGAAUCAAAAGGUCAGCCACUGUAGCAUCCUCAAGCUGCUGCCCAAUCCUUUUCAUUAGUUCAUUCCUUUCCGUCUCUCCGCAUUCUAACAGAAUCACUGCUCUUAACAACCUAAGCAUAAAACUACAGGGAAGGCUGCCUUUCUCCAUGGGCAGUAACCACACAAUAGCUUCGGCCAAUGAUCUAUAUUUUAUGAUAUCACCACCCUGUACCAUACCCUUGCUAAAACCUGGCAAUCUUCUCCACGCAUAUGCAUUCAGGGCUUCUCCAAUGACAUCACCAGAGAUUCUUCCCUUUGUUUUGAUUGUUGUAAUCACCCUUUUAUAAAGAUCAAUCUGAAGGUCACAGAGAUCUUCUACCCACCAAUCUUUGGGCACUGUUUGUGGUUUUCUUACACCAUUCCAAAUAGGAUCCUUCCCAUUCUCAGAUGGAAGCUUUCUCCUGUUAUAGGUGUAUGACCACUCCACCUUGGAAGUAUCCAUGCAAGCCUUUGAGGCUAUGGAAUCAAGGCAAUGACUAACCACUUUUAAUUCCUCAGCCAACGGAAGAAGAGAUUUAGUGGUUUGAAGAACGAUGAUCGAGUCUUUCCAACUGCGGAAGAUGCUAGAACUAAGGAAGACAUCAAUCUUGUAAAUGAGGUUUCCUUUCUCAACAGUUUCAUACAUCUCAAGGUACUCUGCUGCACAACGAGCUGCAACCACAUUGUACGCAUUGAGAGUGACGGUCAUACCAUAACAGAACUUUGCACAUAUCUCAAAAGCAGCAGGUCCACCAGGAAUAUCCUGGAUGUGGAUUUCAUCACUGUUGUCAUCAUUUGUGUUUGCAACCAGCUUCUGUAGACGUGCACUCUUGGAUAACAGUGGAAACUACAGACAUUUCAAAAAGUAGAACAAUCAAACAAGUUUUUCUGAUAACAAAAAUGCCAACAGAUAAGUGUAUCAACAUAAUAGUGCAUUUUUUCAAAAUUAGAAAGUUGAAUAAUGUUCAAGGAGGGACAUAAAAGAGACGGAACAGACUUAGUUGGGGAUACCAGAACGAUCUUUGUUCUACAUUAAUGAGUAUGAAACAAGACUAAAUGCUUUUUCCAUGUGUUACGUUUAGUGGAUGCCAAGUCAUUGUAAGAAUACAAUAGGUCCUAGUUGAUCACAUAGAAAUCAUACCUUAUGCAGAUAAAAUUUCACAUCUCGAACAUUAAUGACUAUGUCAGUUGCCAGCUCAGUUGCCACAUACCUGGAACACAGAAAAGUUCCCUCCAGUCAGGUUACACCACAAAAUCAAUAGAAAUGUCAUUAAUCUCAAAUAAUUAAUACUAUAGAAGCCAAUUAUCAGGUUAAGUUUCAGAAAUAUUGAAGGACACUAUUGUUGAAAAACAUAAUCGAACAAAUGCAUCACUUAUAUCAUAUUAUAUGGUUUGAUGAUAAAAAUAUUGUAAAAAGAAGAAAUUGAGUGUUUUCGCGAAUCCUUGAUAGAAAUUAUUUGCUUAUUCACUUUUCCGAUUACCUCUGUGCUUAUAAACUAGAUAGCUGUUUGUGCCAAUGGGACACACUAGAGAGGUGGAAAACUCAUGCUAGCUUACAUAUUAUAGGGAUCAUUUUGUUCAAACUGAUGUAGUUAUCUCGUUCAACAGUUAGAUGGAAUUUGAAAGGCAAAGAAAAUUAGAGAUUCAUUCCUUCUGUAAUUCACUUGCCCUGUUGGUAAAAUAACGUCUAAAAUUGCCCGUUUAGGUAAAUACAUCUAAAAAUGAGAAGAGUUUCCUCAUUUGCUAGAGAAGUUCAAGUUAGAUUACAUAUAAGUACAACCAAAAGGCAAAUUUGAGCUGGAUGUGUUUACAGUGGGCAUAAUUAUAUAUCUAUCCUUAGGCAAUUAUGAUGUGUUAAAACUAUUUCAUCUUCAACUCAGGAAGAAAACUGGUAUGACUAAACAUUUGUAAAGUCAAGUGGAAAAUGGAGGAAAUUUUAAUUAUUUUAAAGUCAUUAAAGUAGGAAAACAGGUUCUACAAUGUGCAGUCUAUACGCUCUUCCUGCCCCUAGAGUCACAGGGAAAUGAAAAGAAAACAUUGGCAGAAUCAAACAGUAUAGUGGCAAACCAGGCCAGAGAGUGACUUGCCGAAAUUUAAAAUCCAUAUAAAUAUAACAACAGUGAAACAUCAAGAUGUAAGGCACGUGAAAUCAACUCCAUUUGGAAAAGAAUUAGACAAGUUAAGGCCUAAAAUAAAAAUCAGUCAUAUACAUAAUAUAUAGUUGAAUAGUUAGGGGAAAGGGUUAACCAAUGAGAUUUGAAUCCUAGCGUGAAUUUCCAAAUAACAAAAUAUGAAAUUAAUAGAUACUCAAAGAAGGAUUUAAGAUUUACCUAAUAUUGUCCUCAUCUGCCUGAAAUGAAUCAGGCUUGGACCCAAGUUUCAUGAAUUUCAUUUUGCCAAAUUAAAUAAUCAGCUCCUCUGCUUCCACUUCAGGACUCUAAUUUCUGACUUCUGCCAAAUCCACAAUAUAGUGAACCAAAAUCACCAGAAAGACUUCAAGAAAAGAAAAACCUCUCAAAUGAAAAUCGACCAACUAUUUGAGCAAAAUAAGAAUGAAUCAAAGGUUGCUUGAAGAUGAGUUUCUUAGUAUGACCGUAUCUUGCCCACAAAAUAAGGCCAAAAUAAGAAAGAGAGAAAUGAGUUACUAGGGGCAGUUUGAUUCUUGAUGAGGUGAGGUAAGUUUGCUUCCUAAAUUGGUUACAGAGUCCAAAGACUCAGGACUAAGAAGGUUAACAAAGGAGACAAUGCCUAAAAACUGUCUUUAAACAUUUAUAUAAACUAAAACAUGAGAGACAACCCCACUUGCUCAAAACUGACACCACCGUCCUUAUAUGAUUUGUUUAUGCUCCUUUUUCUUGUUUUUGCUUCUCUUUUUAUCAAUGGAUCUCUCUCACACACACUACUAGUAAACCCUUUUCUUCUGGUCCACAAAGCUUCAAGAAUCCAAAAUCCUUUACAAAUCAAAAUACCCUUGCAGCUCUCGAAUUUAAGCUACAAGCACCUGCAACCAGAAAACAGCAUAUCUUGGUAUCAGUUCAAAGAACCACCGAAAGAGUGGACAACAAGCAUCAAUUUUGGGGGUUUCUAAAAGAAAGAUUGGGCAAGAGAGCAUCACUACCAACAAAAUUGUUAAUUUCAAAGUGGAGGUGAAUAAGCAAGAUUGCUAGAAUCAAAGUCAAGAAUGUGUCACAGAAAUCAACUUAAGAACAUACUAUAUUCUUUAACAAAAAUAAAUAAAUAAACAAAUAAAUAAAAGCAAUAAAAUUAAAAGACCUGACCACAGGAACUCAUAAGCAGCUUGAGAAAACCACCCAAGAACAUCCUUGCCAGUAAUUUUACAAUAAAUGCAAGAAUUUAAAAUCAUACACAAUAAAAUGGCAUCCCACCAACAAAUUGAAAUUGUUUCAUUAGACUAUUAGCAUGCAAGAGCUAGCUCUAUAGCAGAUAUAUUCAAUAAAACUCAGGUGAAGUAAAGCAAAAUGCUGGCCAGUAACAAUAGUUUUUUAGGAGAAAAUCAUAAAUAAGAAGAAAAUAAAAAUCAUGAAAAUCAAAUUAUGGUACUUUACCUUGAAGAUAUCUCUGUAGAAACAGCACAAAAAUGUCCUAAAGCAAGGGUCUCUCUCUCUCUCUCUCUCUCUCUCUCUCUCUCUUAGCACUUGGACAAGUACCAAAGAAGAAUCAAAAUAUGCAUGGCAAUGGGCACACGGCUAUACAACAGAAAAGAACAGAACACAAUCGUUCAGUGCAUGAGAGGGGGCCUAUUGCCUGCAGGACAAAACCCAAAAGGAGGAACCCCACAUACCACCAAAUCCACCCAACAAAACCAAAAAAUUUCCAAUCAAAAAAGAUGAGCUGUUCCUCAUCCAAUCUUUUGACAGCCACCACUGCCUAUAUACAUAACCCACAAAACGCCAAAUCGCAGAAUGUUCCCUACCCCUAUUUUCCUUUGAAUCAGCACCACCGCCCCCACCACCACCACCAACACCGCCAGCACCACCACUUCACCUAUAUAUCAUUAGCUUAUAUAUAGACUCAUAAGAAAUAUUAAAAAAAAAAAAGGAACUUUUAAAUUAUUGAAACUAGUGAUUGAAUUUUAACUAAGUAUCCUCGUUUCACUUUGGCAACAAUGAAGACAAAAAAACUUUAUAUUUGUUUGGCCGUAGAGAGUAAAAAGAGUUCAUUUCAAAGAAGAGAACCCAAAAACCACGAGGCCCCCACUACCCACCAUUUUCUUCAAUUUUCUUUCCUUCUUUCUUUCUUUUUAAAGUUAAAGAUCUCCUUUGCUUUUUUUUUUUUCCCUCUUUAACUUUCUAGCUCUACAGCCAAUCUGACAUGCAUGACUUUGGUGUUUCCUUUCUCAAAUACAAACUGACUUUAGUGACUUACCUUGUGUCCUUCGUUUUUAAUGAACAAGAGAAAGAAACUUAGAAACAGCCUCUGUAUACCAGAAAACGACCCAUCCAUCUAUCUCCCUCUCGUACUUCGAUAAUAAUGGUAUCCAUCUCAUUUUCUUAUUGUAUCCAAUUCUUACAGUUAAAAAAACCAAUAAAGGUUGUCUCUUUUCCCUCUCGUGCCCUUUUCUUUUUUUUUUUUUUUUUCAAUUAAUCCUGCUAUCAACACUUUUAUUAGUAUCCACCAGUGGCUGAUUAGCUUAGCAAAAAAAAAAAAAAAAAAAAAAAAAAAAACGCAAAUGCCUUUUAUUUAUUUAUAUAAUAGAGAAAAACUCCCAAAAGUCAAAAAUAUAAAAGCAAUAUGAAUAAUUUUUUAUCAUCUAUAGUGUGAUUAUUUUUAUUAUUAAUAAAUGAAUAUUUUAUAUUGUUCCACCUGAGUAUUUAUUUAAAAUUUUAAAAUAUAUUAACAUUUUUUUUGAUUUUUUUAUAUUUAUUAAGUAUUUUGUAGUAAAAUUUUGACAACCACAAUACAUCCAUAAUUUGAUUAUCAAUGCCAUUAUACAUAACAUGUCAUCUUUUGAUUGGCAUUUGCAUAAAAGCUGAGUUGGAAGGAUAAAAAAAAAUAAACUAUCUAAAAAUUGAAUUGGAACCACAUGCAUUAACUUAUGUUUGAUGUUUUAUAUAUAAAAAUUGAGAUAAAUUAUGAUGUUUUAUUUGAUAAGUGGUAGCAAAAUAUAAUAUAAAAUAUACUUAAAUAUAAUAGUUAGAUUAAAAAUUUAUUUGAUAAUAUUUUUAUUAUGGUACACUAAAAAGUUUAAUUAUGCUUCACAUGCAUGAGUUUAUUUUUCAAUUAUAUAAAAUCCAUAUAAAUGACGGCAUCAUGACUCAUGAUUGACGUGUGAUUUACAUUAUUAUAUCACAAAUUAAUUCCAAUUUAGAGAAAUUGUCGGAACAUAUUCAAUGCAUGUGAAAAUAAAAUAAUUGCACAUCAAAAAUAAUCUUUUCCUCAUCAAAUCCAAGAUGCGAAUUUAAUAUAAAUAAUAAACGGUUUUUAUUGGUGAAUUAUCUACUACAAAUGUUCUUCAUUUUUUUAUUUUUUUAUCUUUUCUAGUCACAUUUUUUCUUGUGUUUUUUCUCUAAAAAAUUAAAAAUUUUUAUAAAGUGAAAUGAAAUGACAAGAAUCUUUUCUCUUUAAAUUAAAGAUUUCGAAUUUCAAUCCUAUUAUCUUUUUAAAGAUCUGAAUUAAUUAAAUAAGUGCAUUUAAGGUACAAAACAAAAAUAAAGAAAAGGAAGAAGGAAAAAAACAAAGAGAAGGUAAGAGUUAUCUUGUCCAAUCAAUCAAAAUGAUGAACAUCUAUUCCUCAAGUGGACAAAUUGAGACCACAACCUUUAAUUCUCUUAUCCAAUUCCCAAUUUUUUUUCCCAUUCACAACCCAAUUCACAUGCAAUGCUCCAAUGUCAUUACAAAUCAAUCUAAAAUUAUAUAUUUAUUAUAUUAAUUAAUCACUUAUCUUAUUAUCAUAUUCUCCUUGUUUAAUCUUUAAACACAUCCCUAUGAUAAUGCUUAAUUUUCUUAAUAUUACUUUGCAUCAAGAAUCUCACCCAAUACCAAAUACUAAUAUAUAUUUUUAUUUUUGCUCACCUAAAAAAAAAUUAAUAAAUAAAUAAAUAAAUAAUGCUGCUAUAUACAGAAUCUAUGCAAGAUGAUAUUGAUAUAUUCUUUGUACAAAUGUCGGAAAUCUUAAUUAAAAUUGACCUAAACUAGAGUCACAAUCUUUGAAAGAUCCUAUCCAUGAUGAUUGGUCGGUUGGGUUUUAUUUUAUUUAUUUUAUUUUAUUCAUUUUUCAUGGUCAAAGGAUUAAUUAUAACGAAUUUAUUUUUUGCCUGUGGACAAUAUUUGAUAAUUUGGAGCUAUUUAAAAAAAAAGAAAAAAAAAUUAUUAUCUAUUUGUUCUUGAGAUAUGAUUCCCACUUGAAGGAAAAAAACAGUAUUGAUAUGUCAUCUUGUGUUCUGGCUUAUACACAGAGAUUGACCCAUAGCAUGUGAUCAUCUUUUACUCCUUCAAGUUGAAGCCUUUUUUUGCCUAACAUUUUCUUAAUUAAUUCUUUUUAUCAGAAAAUUAUAUAUCCUGAGGGGACCGUCAUUUUUAAUUAAUUAAUUAAUUAAUUACCCAAAUUAAUUUAUGAUUAUACUAGUCAAGGAUUUUAUAUAUAUUAAUAGCCAGUGUAUAUUGUAUAUUAAAGAUUAAUAUUUUACAACUGAAAAAAUUACAUAUUUAGGCCAUAAAAACAUUUUUUCUUCUAAAAAAUAUCAUAUACAAUAUAUAAUUUUCUCUCAAUUCUUUAUAAUAAUAAUGAAUCUCUUAUAUUAAAUGCUUCGUAAAAUUUUUUUAAUAAAAUUUAAUUAGCUAACAUUAUUCACUAAUUAGAAUUUUAUUUUAAUGUUGACUUGGAUUAAUGGAAUUUAAGUAAUGAAAUUAAGACAUUCUAUUUUUUAAAUUUCUUUGUUUGAUUUUAAAAAACAAAAAGUCAUAAUUCAUAGAAAUAUUAAAUUAUUCUUUUACCUUAAUUCCAAAUUUUUUAGAAUAAAGAAAAAUUUCACAUGAUGAAUUUUUUAAUCACAUCUUCUUUAUUAAUGAUAGAAUUUAAAUCACUUAGGUUCCGUUUGUUUUCGUAAAAUAACUUGUAGAAAAAUAUUUUUUAAAAUUUUUCAUUAUUUGGGGGCUCAGGGAAAUAAGUCAACAGAAAAUAUUUUUAUGGUCAAAGGAAAAUUAAGUCAUUUUUUAAGGAAAACAACUUUUCAUUUUCGAGAGAGUAAAACAUUUUCCAGAUAUUGACGAAUUUUAUAAAUUCAUAUUUUUUAAUUUAUUAAUUAUUAUGGUCACUACCACCGACCACCAUCACUAACCACCAGCGGCUUUCAUAAUUUAUAUCUUUUUUUGCAUUCUUUUCAUAUUUAAUAAUAAAAUUUUUAAAUUAUAAAAUUUUUUCUAUUAUUAUUAAUAUUUUUUAUGAUCUUAUAAGAUAAAAAGUUUAAUAUUUUUAACUAAAUUUCAAUAUUACAAUCAAACAACGAAAUAUAAGUCAUUUGGAAAAUAUUUUUUAAGAUGAAAAUAUUUUUCAGCAAGUUAUUUUGCGGAAACAAACGGAGCCUUAAUUUAUUGUAAAAAUGCUCUUCAAAUUCAAAAUAUUAUUUUUCAUCUUUUUUUAUUAAUAAUAGAAUUUAAACAACUUAAUUUUAUUAAGAAAAUAUUCUUCAAAAUUAUAAACAUUAUUUUCUAAAAAUAAAUACAAAAUUUUGUAAAUUUCAAAAUCCAGUAAAAUUUUAUACAAUUUAUGAAUUUUGCGUUUCAUAAAUUCAAAACACCAUUUAAAAUAUAUAUAUAUAUAUAUAUAUAUAUAUAUAUAUAUAUAUAUAUAUAUAUAUGGAUUAUAUAUAUAAAUGGAUAGAAAAUUCGAGGGAAAGAAUCAUGUAAGGACAUUUACAACUCACAUCCAAACCACCAUUUAAAAAAUCAUACAUAGAGAGGAAACUUGAGGUAAAGAAGAACAUGUAAGGACAUUUACAACUCACCCAAGUAGUAAUAUACUCAGAAUUUGAGAGAGAGAACGAUAAAGAAAGAAGCUUUAUGUUGCUCAAAUUAGGGUAAUUAUGGCAAGGCACAUGGUCACAGAUUCUCAUGCUGUGGUUAACUGCACUGGGAAUUUAAGCAGAGUUUAAAUAGUAUAAUGUGAGGACCAUGUCGAACUAAUCAUCAUAUGGUCAAUAUUGUUUUCAAAUACUAGCUUUAAAGCAAGAUCCCUCUGACAUGCUUAAUGCCCUAGUUUCAGUGCAUCAUCUUGAUGCUUAUCUUGGUCCAAUCAAUUUCUAACACUUUUACAAGAACAUUGCAUUAACCACUGUUCUUUUUACGUUAGUAACUUAACUAAUGUGAUGAUUAUAUUGGCAAGCAUAGAGAAAAAAAAAAAAAAAAAAAUCUUAAACCCAUUGUUGAACAGAACUGUGGGAACACAAAAUACAGAGAAUCAUAUUUUCUUGGAUUUUAUUUUCACAUACAAGAAAGACAAUAUUGGCAAGUAUUCUCUAGGUGACUGUCAUUUUCUCUAGUCCAAUUAAAUUAUGCAGAUGAAGCCUAACAUUUCUCAUUGGAUACCUAUUCCUUCCUGAAACCUCCUUGGUUUUGUAAAGAUUGUCUUCUCCCCUAUAAUAAUUGCUUGUUUAUCAGCUAGAAGUCUUCAAAUCAAACCAAUGUAGUUCAGUGAUUAGGUCUGAUCAAAAUAGUUUAAUAUCCAGAACCCAUUACUUAAUUCUGUU
rnacentral:lncRNA from 1 species